rnacentral:lncRNA from 1 species
UUUUUUUUUUUUUUUUGGUUCAAGGGCUAAAUCAAGAGAAUCCAAUACUAUAUAUAAAGAAGAGAUUAAAGCCUAAAAAAAAUAGAAAUAAUAGGAAUGAAGAGAGUAGAUCUGGUUCUUACCUUUGCCAUCAACGUCAACGAGUAUUCAUCAAAUUAUCAUGCUUAAAAUCUAUCUUUUAAUCACACAAAAAAAAAAUCGUGUGAACUGAAGUUUAUAUGUAUCCAAUUCAUGUUGACACAUGCUAUACUUUUGGAAAUUAAUCUCUCAAGUGAUAGUUACAUUUCAAUUAUAUAUAUAUAUAUAUAUAUAUUAGAGUUAGGUGGUUAACCGGUUGAUUAUUAUUGGUUAAGCUUCCCUUUACUUAACCAAUUCUAUAUAUAUUUGUACAGUGACAUUUACAGUUGAAUAACAGAACAUUUUUUACCAUUCUCUCUCUAAAUCUAAUAUGGUAUCAGAGCUUUCUCUCUCCUUCCGCAACAAACUUUUUUCUUCACUCGAGCUUUGAUUCUCCAUGAUUCAAGCUUGAUUCUUCUUCAUUUUCUCUGGAUUUCGAGUCGAAUCUCUUCAAAUCGGAGUUUCGAUUCCUUUUUCGAUUUUUUUUUUAGCUCCAUUUUGCUCAAUUUCAUCUCGAUUUCAUCCUUCUUCUCGUAGUUUUGUCGUUCGCUCAAUCAAUGGCGAAUCCAGCUACGAACUCAAAUCCUAAUCGUGAUUCAUAUGAUAAUCCUUACUAUCUCAGUGGAAGCGAUCAUUCCGGACUUCUUCUUGUUUCAGAUCGUCUCACCGGUGCUGGAGAUUUUGGUUCAUGGUAUGAGUCAAUGAUAAUGGCAUUAAACGGUCGCAACAAACUCUGUUUCGUUGAUGGAACUCUUCCGAAGCCAAAUGAUGGUGAUAGAGACGCAGCUGUGUGGUCUCGUGUCAACGAUGUGGUUCGAUCUUGGCUUAUGAAUUCAGUAUCGAAGACAAUUGGUCAAAGCGUUCUCUACGUCAAGACGGCACAAGGAAUCUGGGAAAAAUUGCUUAAAAGAUUCAAGCAGAACAAUGUUCCUCGUCUUUAUCAGAUCGAACAACAACUUCAUGGCUUGCGUCAAGGUUCGUUAGAUGUCAACUCAUUCUAUACUCAGUUGAUUACAAUUUGGGAAUCUUUCAAGAGUGCUCAAGAUUUUCCGACUUGUCGUUGUGCUAAUUGUGAUUGCGAUGUCAACACGAAAUGGAUGGAAUUGUUUGAAAGGAAUUUUGUGAUCAAGUUUCUUUAUGGACUGAAUGAUUCUUAUGAAACGGUACGAGAACAAAUUAUCAUGAUAAGUCCUCUACCGGAUCUGGAGAAGACCUUAAAUAUGGUGAUUCAGCAUGAACAUCAAAAGAUGAUCAAGCAAGUUCCGCAGUCUGAGGCAGUUGUUUUUCAGAUGAGCAACAUGGCUCCUCAAGCUACAGAUCCAAAUUUCUCAAACAAUGGAGGCUAUGGAAAUGUUUCUUUUACAAAUGAAACUAUUGGAGCAGUUUCUGGUGGCUAUAAACCAAAACAGCGACCUAUGUGCACAUAUUGUGGUCUUCAAGGACACACUGUCAACAAGUGCUACAAACUUCAUGGAUAUCCACCUGGAUACAAGUCAACAUAUGUUCCACCGCAACAAAACUAUGCUCCAAAGUCAGCUCCUCCGCAACAAAAUCCAUCUCUUCAGCAACAGAAUCAAAAUUUCCCGCAGCAUCAACAACAUGGUUCACAGUUCAAAGGUCAAGCUCAGAAAGGACCUCGUGAAAAUAUGGUUGGCAAUGUGGUUACUACUUCCCCGGCUGUGCAAGAUCAUUUUCACCAAGUUUCAAAUGCUUUAGCACACCUCUCUGAGGAACAACUUCAUCAAUUGGCACAACAACUCACGAACAAAGCUCAAUGUUCUAUGCCAACGAUAAAUGAAGUUCCAGGAGUCUCUUAUGGAUCUACAUCAGCAGGUAACCUCAUUUGCUCUACAAUGCUGGAACCAUGCCUUAAUUUCACUGCUUGGAUUAUCGAUUCUGGUGCGACAACACAUGUGUGUUGCAACUUAGGUCUAUUUGAUAUCUCUGAGACUACUGUGAAAUUACCUGAUAGUACACAGAUUGUCAUCAAUCAAUCUGGUACAGUCAAGUUAUCGGAUAAAAUUCUUCUCCAAAACGUCCUAUACAUCCCAUCCUUUCACCUAAACCUCAUCAGUGUUAGCUCAUUGCUACACGAUUCAUCCUACUCUGUUAACUUUUAUCCUUCCUUUUGCCUUAUCCAGGAGUUUACUCUGGGCUUGAUGAUUGGGAAGGGUAGACUAAAGCACAAACUCUACUUCCUGGAUUUAGAGCCUUUCACAUCAUACAACCUCAUUCAUAACAUCUCUACUUCCGACUCCAGCUCUUUAUGGCAUUCAAGGCUGGGUCAUCCAUCUUUCUCUCGGAUUCAAGUUUUAUCUGAAGACCUUUCUAUCCCAAAGUCAAAACUCAAAGACUGGUCACAUUGUGCUACUUGUCAUCUAGCCAAACAAAAACGAUUACCUUUUCUUUCAAAUAAUAAUCUUUCAACAAACCCUUUUGAUCUUGUUCAUAUGGAUGUCUGGGGUCCUUUUUCUGUUGUUUCUACAGAUGGUUUUAGAUACUUUCUAACCAUUGUUGAUGAUUGUACAAGGGUAACAUGGGUCUAUUUCUUAAAAGCAAAGAGUGAUGUUAUCACCGUUGUACCCUCUUUUCUUAAACUUGUAGAAACUCAAUACUCUAAUAAAAUCAAGUCUGUUCGUUCUGACAAUGCUCCUGAACUCUCUUUCAAAACUCUCUUUGAAACCCAUGGGAUUUUUCACUAUUAUUCUUGUACGGGAACCCCUCAACAGAAUUCUGUUGUUGAAAGAAAACACCAGCACAUUUUAAAUGUGGCCAGAGCCCUCCUUUUCCAGUCCAAUGUCCCUAUCCAAUAUUGGACAGAUUGUGUUCGAACCUCAGUAUUCUUAAUAAACAGAAUUCCAUCACCACUUCUUCAAAAUAAAACCCCUUUUGAACUCCUCAUGAAUAAGAAACCAGAUUACUCUCUCUUAAAAACUUUCGGGUGCCUUUGUUAUGUGUCUACAUUUCCAAAAGAUAGACAUAAGUUUACUCCUAGAGCCGAACCCUCCGUUUUUCUGGGAUACCCUUCAGGGUACAAAGGAUAUAAAGUUCUCAAUCUUGAAACUCACUCCAUCUCUAUAUCCCGGAAUGUUAUUUUUCAUGAGGACAUAUUCCCAUUCAUCACAUCCGAUAUCCCUACUCCCACCCGUGACCUUUUCCCACACACCAUUCUUCCUUUACCCAUACCUGAUACAACACCACCACCAAAUCCCAUCACACAAACACCACCAACACCAAAUCCUGGAGUUUUAUCCGAUAACAGUGAUUUCCCAUUAGUGUCUGAGAAUACUAUUUCUAUUAAUGCAAAUAGACCUAAGAGGAACACUCGGGCUCCUUCAUAUUUGCAGCAAUACCACUGCAACUUGGUGCAUGAUUUGCCAGUCCCAACAGGCAAAACGGCACAUCCUCUGUCUACAGUUCUGGAUUAUUCAAAACUAAAAGAUCAUUAUCAAUCUUUUGUUUUCAACAUCUCAUCAGAAUCUGAACCCAAAGAUUUCAAUGAGGCUGUUCGAAACAAAAAGUGGCAUGAUCCAAUGAAUGAAGAACUGGAAACCUGUGUUAAAACAGGAACUUUCUCGGUUGUCUCUUUACCUCCAGGAAAACAUCCGAUUGGAUGCAGAUGGGUCUACAGAAUAAAGCACAAUCCAGACGGUUCAGUAGACAGAUAUAGAGCUCGAUUAGUGGCAAAAGGUUAUACACAACAGAAAGGUGUAGACUACAUUGAUACUUUCUCUCCAGUGGCAAAGCUAGUAACCGUGAAAAUGAUUCUAGAUUUGGCUGCAAAACACGGCUGGUCCUUAACACAAAUGGAUGUCACAAAUGCUUUCUUACAUGGCGAUCUAGAAGAAGAAAUAUACAUGCAAUUGCCACCGGGAUAUACACCUCCUCCUGGUGAAUCUUUACCACCAAAUGCCGUAUGGAAACUUCAUAAAUCACUUUAUGGCCUAAAGCAAGCUUCGCGCCAGUGGUAUAAGAAGUUUUCAGAGGUUCUUCUCAGAGAUGGUUUUACUCAGUCUGAAACGGAACACACUUUGUUUGUUAAAGUAACUGGAUCAACAUUUGUUGCACUACUGGUUUAUGUAGACGAUAUACUCAUCGCCAGCAACAAAGACGAAGCAGUUUCAGACUUAAAGACUCUUCUUGCUACAGCCUUCAAACUAAAGGAUCUUGGACCGGUGAAAUAUUUCUUAGGCCUGGAAAUAGCAAGAACGAGUAAAGGCAUCUCUGUUUCUCAACGCAAAUACGCUUUGGAUCUUCUUGAAUCAGUUGGUCUUCUUGGUUGUAAACCGGUUGCAACACCAAUGGACUCAACUAUUCACUUAAGUUCAGAAAGUGGAGAUUUAAUGCAAGAUCCGACAGUAUAUAGAGCGUUGGUUGGAAAAUUACUUUAUCUUACUAUUACGAGAGCUGAUAUUACUUUUGCUGUUCAUAAACUGAGCCAAUAUCUCUCCAAGCCAAGGACACAGCAUUAUGAAGCUGCUCUUCGAGUAGUAAGAUACUUAAAAGGAGAUCCGGGUCGUGGUUUAUUCUUCUCAGCCAAUUCAGAUAUACGAUUACAAGGAUUCUCCGAUGCUGACUGGUCUAGUUGUCCAGACUCGAGAAGAUCAACAACUGGUUUCUGUGUAUUUCUGGGUGAUUCGUUGAUAUCAUGGAAGUCAAGAAAACAGAAAACAGUUUCUCGAAGUAGCGCUGAAGCAGAGUACAGAGCAUUAGCUGAUACUACUUGUGAAUUGGUAUGGCUAAAUCAACUGUUACAAGAUCUCAAGAUACCUGUAACUGGUCCGGCUAAUCUCUUCUGUGUCAGCACUUCAGCAAUGCAAAUAGCCUCAAAUUCAGUAUUUCACGAACGAACAAAACAUAUAGAGAAUGAUUGUCAUCUAGUUCGUGAAAGACUGAGGGCUGGUUUUCUGAACUUAAUGCAUGUGAAGACUGAAAACCAGUUGGCAGAUUUGUUCACCAAAGCUCUUCCUCCCAAGACUUUCAAGUUUCUUUUGUCGAAGUUCGCAUUUUCAAGUCUUUUUCUUCCUCCUUGAAGAAUUCGACUUGAGGGGAGGGUAUUAGAGUUAGGUGGUUAACCGGUUGAUUAUUAUUGGUUAAGCUUCCCUUUACUUAACCAAGUCUAUAUAUAUUUGUACAGUGACAUUUACAGUUGAAUAAUAGAACAUUUUUUACCAUUCUCUCUCUAAAUCUAAUAAUAUAUUUCUGUAUUAAAUUAAUAAUUAAGAUAACAUUUACGAAUACAUACAACAUACAGGAACGUAAAAGGUUAAUUAACUGAUAUGAAACAGCCUUUGUUAUAUUAUGAAUUCACAAAAUCAAUCAAUACAUAACUACAUCAUUAUUCUCUUGCCAAAGAGAAAGAGUUGGUUCCUCAAAUGCAAGUCCAUAGUUAAUAUGAGAAUAAUAAUCACCACCUUCAAUCUCAACACUAUCCAUGUAAGAAAGUUCCGUACACCAAUUCAUCAUCUCAUCAUCAUUUUGCGACGAAAGCACACCAAUAUCAAAGUCGUUAAGCCACCCGAAAUCAUCUUCAAGACCGGAUUUUGUCUGUUGAAGAUCCGUUUUCCGAGAUUCUAUGGUCGUCGUCGGAGAAUUCAUGUUGAUCUCAACUUCUAGCGAUCUAAUGACUCGGUUUAAUUUCUCUUCUUCCUCUUCGUUAACGCUACUAUGGUUUUCGACAGGCGAUUCAUCUUCCAAAAACGACAUGAUCAUAAGCUCAUCGUUGAAAAUCUCCAUGCCUUGAUCCAAACCAUACUGCAGAGACUCCAUUUGUGAGAAGAGAUCGAGAAACUGUUAAGAAGAGCAAAUUUAUAUCUAUAACUUAAAGAGAAUAUAUUAUAUCUUGAGAGCCAAAGCUAAGAGGUCUUAUAUAUAGGGAAAGGUACGUUAAAUUAAUUAAUUAAUUAGGCAUAUUGGCGUAUGAGAUAAGAUGUCUCCCCACACUACACGACCAAUCAUGUGAUCAUAUGUAAUGUGCUAUGAUGAUGAUGAUGAUAAUGGUUUAUAAUAAAGAAUAAGAAUGGGAUAAUAUGAUAGCUUUUGGCCUAACUGAUAAUGGACCAUCGAGGAGACAUGACUGAACGAAAUUAAUUCAUGGAUAUUUAUUAUAAUUAGAAAAUUAGUUGAAUGUCAAAUUUCAACUGUCCAAGUGGAAUAUGCGUAUAGGCAAAGAUCUUGCAAGUUUGGUACAAUGCACCACCCACUUAUAGAUAUGGUUUAACACAGGCGAUGAAACAAAGCAAUUACAUCUACUUUACUCGUGUUUGCAAUCAAUUUGGGAACCAAAUUAAAUGAACGUAUUUAGAUUUGUUUUAUUUUGAAAAGGAGAAUUUUUAUAAAUGCUCCGGAUAAUGCCACUACUAUGUAUACAUACAUAGAGAAUGAGAAUACCACUACCACUAGUAUAAAAUAUCCACAAAGUACUAAUUUUUUAAUGAAAGGUUUUAUCCUCAAGGAUUUAUUUUUCCGGAAACAAAAUUUGGAUGAUACGAUUGGUAACAACAGAAUUGUGAGCAAAGGAAAACACGUUGUGUGAUUUACGUUGGAUGAUUUACGUUGUGUCAUACUAUUAUGGAUUGUUUAGUUUUGGAUCUCGGUUCCGAACUUCGAGAUUAUAAAAAAAAAGUCUAAUAUUAUAAUCCAAUUACAAAAAAGGUCUAAUAUAAUCCAUAUGGAAUAUCAGUUUAACUUAUAUCUACUCUCUUUGUUUGUAAAAAUGCACAAUUUACACGUCCAUAAAAACGGUUCGGGUCUAUUGCACAUCUAACACAUAAUGUAGACUUUAGAGCGCAAAUGCAUGUCACAUUCAACAAUACACGUACCGACAUAUAUUAAAGAUAUAUAUAUAAAAAAAAACUUUAAUUUUGGGGUCGUAUACGAUAUAUGCUUGAUAAGGUACGUGUCACAUGUGGGUGUUGGACGUUGGAGAAGAAAUGAUUUGACCGAAUAAAUGAAAUUUGAAGCUUUAUAGAAGCAUUAGCACGAGUGGUGGUUCUUAUAGUGGACCGACCCACCCCAUCUUCAUCGCAUCAAUUAUCGAUCGGUUCACAUGUCUCCACCUCUGUUUUCGUAUUUUUUAAUGUUUCUCCGAUUCUUCUCCAAGAUAUCUCGAAUUAUUCUGUAGUAUGUAUUUUGAUUCAAAACUUUUAUGAUUUCCUUUUUAUAUAAGUUUUAUAUAAGAAUUCUUCGUUCAUUGUUGCUGGAAGCUAAAUAUUUUUCGUUUUAGAUUCGUCAACAAAAGUAACAUCUUACAACGACAUCAGAAAUUACCAGCGAUGUCAAAAAUUCACUCAUUUCACCAAGUCGUUGAUUCAAAUUUUAAAAUAGUAUAUGUUUAGUAUGAAUUUAUUUUACGUAUUACUAGCUAAACCCAGUAGACAUCCAUAGUUUUUUUUUUCCUUUCUGGAAACAAAUCAUACAUAAAAGACUUGAGUCACUCGACUUACCUACAGAUUUUUUUUCUUUUUCUUAUUUGGUUCAAAACCUGACAAUCUUCAAGUUGAAAAUAUACUUAAGUGGAUGUUAUUGAUCCAAACAUAAUCACGUGUUAAUAGAUAAAUGAUUUUUAAGUCCUUAUCAAAAUAAUAUGUCAUUCAUCUAUGGUUUAUAGAUUUCCAAUACGAAGGACUUACAUAUAGAUUUUGAUUUUGAAGUGGACUUUAAUGGCUUUAAAUUUAAAAGUCAAGAUAAAUAUACGUAAAUUGAAAUCUGAAGGCAAACCUACAUAUUCACAAAAUUAACUAUAAUCAAUUUUGAAAUCACUUAAUCUUUCAAAACGGCAAAAAAAGAAACACAUUCUGUAAAAGAAAAAUGGGAAUCUACUAUGGUGCGUUUAAUGAAACCUUCUAAACCAACUGGAAGGGCUUGUGCUGAUGCAACCCUAAAUAUUUUCCCGCUAUUUCGUCCUUCCUUGUCUCUCUGUCUCUCCCUCCUCAAUGAGCUCAAGUCGGAAACCUAGGAAUCACGCAAAUCGUCUGAAAUCAACCAAACCCGUCGUUUAGACGUUUACUGUCAGAUCACGAAUCACAGAAGGACCGGACGUAUGGAAAAAGUUUUUCUGGACUGUGAUGAACGCCAAUGUGGAAACUGGUAAGAUUGAGUAAAGCCAGGAAGCUGUUCGAUGAAAUGCCUGAGAGAACCACAGCUUCUUACAAGUAUUAAUGGUUUCUUCCGCGUAGGGAUGUGUUCAAAAAGGCACAUAAUUUAGGAUUGGAGAGAAAUUUCUGCUAUCAUAUUUAGAAUCGCUAUUUGAUGGGUAUUGCAAAGGAGAAAUAUUUUUGAUGCUAUUUGAUAGAAUGCCUUCGGAAAAAAUGUGCUACGAUUGAUGGUUGUUUCAAAGAUGGGUUUGGUUUUGUUUUUGACAAUGAGACAGGAGGGAGAUGUCAGUGUUAAUUCUAGCUCUCAUGUUUAAAGCCUGUGGGAAGAUUUAUGGGUUAGUUUCAUCCAUGCCUCUAGACUCUGGGCAUGACCAAAUAUUUGAAGCUUAUGAACUUUCUGAGAUAUGCCGAAGAAAGGCGUAGUUUUACUCGGCAGAUAUUACCUAAAGGAUUUUCUAGAAAAAGGAGAUAUCUCUAAAUGCGUGGUUUGUUCAUAGUGUUGCCUAAAAAGAACGCUAUCACCUGGACCGUUAUAAUAUCAGACUGCGUUUGCGAGCAUUGGAGAGCAUGAGGAGGCGCUCUAGGGAAAAUGCUUAUCUUAAAGCUCCCAACUUUCAGUAGUGUGUUCCGCACAACAUCUGCCUUUGGCUGCUUUGAUCUAAGGACUGCAGAAUUGUGAAGAUCAGCAUGGCUUAUGACUGACAAUAACAGCUUAUGUUAUCUGAUAUGUAUCAGCUUAUUGGAUGUUAUCUUAUCACAUGGUGUUCUCUCGUUGAUCAAGACCUUAGCUUGGUUUCGUGGCUACCAUGCCCCAAGCGUUUUUUCCUAGAACAAAUCAAAUAUGAACUGUAAGUUUACCUACUUUGAUUCUCCGUAUUUUACCUACUUUGAUCAAGUGGCCCAGAAGUUAGGACACUCAUAAUGUCCUAGGAUCAGACCUUUACAAAUUCACAAUGUCUUGUCUAAUGAUUGGCAAAAAAGCCUCAUAAUGCUCUAGGAUCAUAAAUUCUGUACCUGAAGUCAAUUGUUGUUUGUUUGUUUAACAUUUCCUCCAUUUACUAACUAAUGAAAAAUCUGAAUUGCGUUCAAUUAUUCUGAUUAUUAUUUGAACUUCUUAUACUUUUUCAUCCCAUAAUUCAGAAUUCAUACUGUCUUCUUCACAGAUGAUAUCAUUUAAAAAUACUGCAAAGACGUUGACCUUCAUUGCUUUCAAUUCCAAGAAACCUAUUAAGAGCUUCACAUGCUCUUAAUGGGUGGUAAACCCAAUUAUAAAAAAUUUGUAAUGUGAGAAGGGUGAUCAUCCAUGGCUUAUGUUCAUCUCAGCUCAUCCUCCCUCGUCAUCCAAUCCAAAGGAAGAAGAUUCAACUCCAUAUCUUCCGUCAAGAAGAGUCUGCAGAAACGCAGUGUUUUGUCUCUCUCUUCUGCUCUCACCUCACGAGGCAGAGACAUGAUUCCACCAGAGGCAAGCUCUGCCUUUGACUUCAAGACCUAUAUGAACCGUAAAGCCGAAUCUGUAAACGCGGCUCUCAACGUUUCCGUACCUCUUCUGAAACCCCUCACGAUCCAAGAAGGGGUGCGGUACUCAUUGUUAGCGGGCGGAAAACGUGUGAGGCCUCUUCUGUGCAUUGCUGCCUGCGAGCUCGUUGGCGGUGACGAGGCUACUGCCAUGUCAGCCGCUUGCGCGGUCGAGAUGAUCCACACGAGCUCUCUUAUUCAUGACGACCUUCCCUGUAUGGACAACGCCGACCUCCGUAGAGGCAAGCCCACCAACCACAAGGUAUGUUGUAUAAUCAUAUGAAGCCUCUGAUAAAUGCUCACUAGCGUUGAAUCUUUCAUUGAUGUUAACGCAUGCACACUAGUGUUGAAACAAUUUUUUGCUCGAACAAGGUGUUUGGAGAAGACAUGGCAGUUUUGGCGGGUGAUGCACUCCUUGCUUUGGCGUUUGAGCAUAUGACGAUCGUGUCAAGUGGGUUGGUCGCUCCCGAGAGGACAGUGCGCGCGGUAAUUGAGCUGGCCAAGGCCAUAGGGACAAAAGGGUUAGUUGCAGGACAAGUGAUUGACCUGAGCAGCGAAGGACUGAAUCCAGACGACGGUGGAUUGGAGCGUCUAGAGUUUAUCCACCUCCACAAAACGGCGGCGUUGUUGGAGGCAGCUGCGGUUUUAGGGGUUAUAAUGGGAGGUGGAACAGAGGAGGAGAUCGAGAAGCUUAGAAAGUAUGCGAGAUGUAUUGGGAUGUUGUUCCAGGUGGUUGAUGAUAUUCUUGACGUAAUGAAAUCCACUAAUACAUUGGGAAAGACUGCCGGACAAGACUUGGUUGCCGGAAAGCUGACGUAUCCAAGACUAAUUGGUUUAGAGAGAUCAAGGGAAGUUGCAGAGAAAUUGAGCAGAGAAGCAGAGGAACUGCUUCAAGGCUUUGAUCCGAAUAAGGCGGCGCCUCUGUUGGCUCUGGCUAGCUACAUUGCUAGCAGACACAACUGAUCUUUGGUCUUGUUUAGGAACAGCUCAAUGCAUCUAAUGUUCCUAACAAGUCUGUUUAGUUCGCUCUCUGGUCUUCUUUCCUAUGAACCAUUUAUCUUGCGAUCACCUAUCUGUUUUAGUAUUGUGUUAUUGAAUCUUGAUGCCAGGUUUCAACAAAAUUCAUUAUAUAUAAUGUAGAUAUUUUUUUCUUUCUAAGGAUAUGUAUAAGCUAUAAUGGUUUCUCUUAAACUACAUCUUCUCCCGUUUUUCUCUACAAAGCACUAUAAACUAAGUUAAGUGAGACAUGUUACAUUACAUGUAGUGAAAAUGGUUUAUAGAAAGAACGUGAUCGUGUGGAUUUCCAUUAAAUGAUCGUCUGACAGUUUCCAUCCCCAUUUUCUCCGGAUCUAAUUUUGCAUUGAAACCCUUAUCUAAUAAUAUAUAGUAAUAUAAGAUUCCGUCUCUACUUAGAAAUUAAUCUCCGUUAAUAGUUUAUCUCCUUGGAAAUUGGAACUCGUCUCAUCGACGGUCGACUUGCAACAACAAACAUAAGAUUUGCGAACAGCACUAGUACCCCUAACGUUUGUCUAAUAGAGACUUGUGAUUAUAAUAUUUUUUUGGCCAAAUAAGUGAUUACAAUAUUGCAUGUCUCUCUAUCUUAUCUUAUGAAAGGUUUUUUUUUUUGUUUGUUUAAGGAAUCUUAUGAAAGGUUUUUUUUCCAUCAAUAAUGUCAGCAAGUUUUCCUUUCACGUGUUUUAUUGCAUAUAAUAGAAUUAUUGACCCGCCAUUUUGUAUCUGUUUAGGAAUUUAACGAAGUAGAAAGAGAGACUUAAACUAUGAAGCCAACUCGUGAGAGACAUCUCAUGUCAUCUCACAGCAGCGACAAGGAGAAGAUUCGUCUUAUCCAUUUGCUUAGCAGCCUUGGGAUCUCUUAAUUAUCAUUUAUAAGGAGGUUCAAGAGAUCCUUAACCACAGAUUCAAAAACUUGGAUGACAUGAUAGUCAGGGAAGAUGAUCUAAAAACAAUUUCCAUCAAUUUCCAAAAUAUCUUGUGGUAAGAAUAUCAGUUUCCUUUGAUCCAUGCAGCAUAUUCAUAAAAUACGAAUGGGGAUUGAGAGAUCUCGAAAAUCUUCGAAAUCUCGAGAUCGAAGGAGGGAACGAGGACAUUGAAUCGUUUCCAGAGGAAGGGUUACUGCCAAAUUAAAGGUCUUUUUUCUCUGCGGAUAAGCCGUUUCGAGAACCUCAGGGCUUUGAAUCACAAAGGGUUUCAGGAUACAAAGGCUCUUGAGACGAUGGAGAUCAACGGCUAUGAUAAGCUACGGAUAUCGAUAGAUGAAGAUCUUCCUCCUUCCUUGUCUUGCCUUCGAAUCAGUUCAUGCCCAUUGUUGACGGAAGUAGAAACAGUAUUCUUAAGCAUUCCAUAUGUGGAAAUUGACGGCGAGAUCUUCUCUUGAGGGACAAUUUAUUAUAUUUAAAUCACACUUUCUACACACUAGAUACCUUACUUGAUGCACACGACAUUGUAAUUUAGCUUUUUUUCAGAGAUCUCCAACAUUUGACAUCUUUUUCUUCUAUUCUAUCUCAAAAUAAUGAUCUUUUCUAACCUUGAGAAAAAGGUGAACAAACAAUAAAUGAACCUGUGAAAAGCUCAACAACUUUCAAAAGCAAAUGCUUCAAAAAUCCCUUACAGAAAGAUGAUGAAACAGUUGGAAGUAUCUCAGUCGAAAAGACAGAACCUAACAAGACCUCCAAAAUUCAGAAGCAGGAUCAUGGUGUUUCCAGCUACUAACAUAAGUGGAGAUAAUUGUUCUAAAACUUUGAAGAUAAAGAAAACUCCAAAAAAGAAAAGAAAGAAAAAAAAUCUACUGCAGGAAAUGAAAUGUUUGCAAUCAUCUCUCUUCUAGACAGACAAGCUUAGUCAGGUCUCUUUUCUAGUUUGUCGAUGGUGGUCGAGUGAUUCGUGGCCUUACUGGUGUCUUUGAUGGACUUACCCUAGAAAAAGAAAAGAAAUAGAGCCAAAUGUUGAUCCAACUGAGAUAUUCACAUUACAAAAAAAAAAAAAAAAAAAAAAACACAGCAUUGCAUCGAUGAAACUUUACCGUAUCGGUUGGGAUCCAACGACCAUCCCGCUGCAAUUGAGCGCCCUAAGUGCACUAUCUGCCUGUUCGUGUGAAAAGAAAAAGAAAUAUGAGUUUCUCAAUUUGUCAAAUUAUAUAUUUUAUCAUCUCCUUAAUCAAACUUCUAGUCAUCAGUAAAAAGAGCCAAAAAAGUGAGUAUGGGGAAUAUAGACUUGCAAUCUAUAAUAGAUGAAGAGCUCACCAGAGCAAAUUCAACAAAAGCUAUGCGAGUAGAAUGCAGUUGAUCGCCAAGAAGCCUCAGGCGAGUUACCUGCGUAUAUUAGAAACCAACUUAAGCACCAUUCCUUAAAAAGGAAAUAUUUCAGCCAAUUUAAGCGAGAGAGAGAGAGAGAUCAAGCAAGGUCUAGGUUUUGUUCUGACCUCACCACAUGCCGACUCAAAGAAGUUUCUCACAUCAGCUUGAGAAACCUGCAGGUGUAUAAAGAAAAUCUUAAACCAGGAGAAGCUACCGAAGAAAAGUAAAAUUAGUAAUGGUUGUAGAUUGUUCAGCAUUUACCUUCUUGUCGAUAUUUGUGCAAUAGAUUGUCCUUGUACACAUCUCCCUUUCAUAUUCUGACUGAAUUUAACACCAAAAAAACUAUUAGAAUGCAGAGUUUAUUCAAAACUCAAAAAAAACUUAAAACCAAAUUAAUUAGUGGAACUUGUGACGAACAUGUGAGCUUACCCUGGGAAGAAAUGUGGGAUUCACUGGAAGAAUAGCAGUUUUGGAGGGUAAAACCCUCACUGGGUAGUAUCCAACCAUUGUUCCACCAAGGCUUAAAGCUUCUCUUGCGCCCUCUGUAUAGUAAAAUGCCUAGUAUGGGUCAAAAGAGUGAUAUUGAAUUUUUUCUGUUAAAGUAUUUCAAGAUUCCAGCAGCCAAACUUACGGUCCUCAGCAAACUCAACAAACGCAAAUCGAAGAACUGAAUGUGGAUCCCCACAAAUUCGACAAUCAACAACCUUCACAAGAGAAUAACUCACUGUUACUUCACAAACAUUAUAUACCACUAAAGAUACAUUUAAAUUAAAAAAAAAAAAAAUUGCAGCAAUAUUUUAGCACAUAACACAUAAUCUCACUUUCAACAGAUAUGCUUAUAAACUUGUCUAAAUCAAUUACAUUGUCCAAAACCAAUGAAGGGAAAAGGAUAUAGCAAGCAUUAUUCAAAGGCUUAAUUGUCAUCUUACUUGUCCACAGUUACUAAACAAGCAAGCGAGACCUUCCUCAGUUACCUAAACCACAAAGCAGAUUUAGGUUACAUGGAUGCAAACUGUAACUUUAAUCCUUUUGAGAACCUUAAAAAAGACAGUAACAAACUUACACUCUGGUCAAUGUCAGAAACAUAUACUGUUCUUCUAAUACUAUCCUCUCUCUGAGCCUUAGAAAUUCUUCCAGUUAACCUCCUCCUCCCUUGGCUAUAACUGUUUCUUCUCUGUUUUCACAAAAAGAAGAAAAUUUAACACAACGAAACCCCCAAAGUUUGCAGCUUUACAACAACAAAAAGUCACAUUGUGAAUCGUCAGAUUAAUUUAUCAUCCAAAUUAUCUGAUCAUUAAAAAAAAAAAAAACGGGAAAAACAAAUCCACGAUUAUACCUUGCGGUUAUUGUCAUCCUUCUUGCCAUCAGGAUCAAAUUCUUCACCGGAUUGCUUCUUCGUGGUCGGAAAAUCGUCAGACGACAGAAAUUGAUUACCUUUCCCAGUCUGAAUGUUCUUCUUCGGAUUGUAGUAAGAAGGGAAAAACUCCUUAGCCAAAGGAUUCAGUUUCUUGAAAAUCGCCACAAGCUUCUGCAUAUCUAACUCGGAUUCGGGUUUGAGCUCGGAUUCAGUUUUAGAACCCGUGAUCGAGCUCUUCUCAAUUCCGUCACCAGUGAUCUUUUCGCCAUCGCUAUUGAUACUAAUCUCAUGAGCAUCGUCGAUAACAUCAGUGGGCAUUUCAGUGAUCGCAGCCAUUGAAUCAGAUUCCCAGAAAACAGAAUAACUUAUUAGACCCCCCCAAAAAAAAACAAGGAGGAAACAACUCUCUCCUUUUCAGUAAUUUUUUCGUAAAUUUCGAAACUUUGACGAAAGAUGAUGAGAAAAACUCGACUUAAUCCAAAAAUGUGACACUCUUAAUUGAAACCCAUUUAAAAAAUUCCACCGUAUUAACGCACGCAAAUCACGAAGGUGCUUGAUCUCGUAGAUAUUGAUUAUAUAAACAAGAGUUGAGUCAAAAUGUAAUAGUCAGGCCAUUUAAGGGAAUAUAGAGUUUGCGAUUACAGAAAGCUUUCUCUGUGGUGUGGUUAUGGUGAUGAGCGAAGGGAGGAGAUGAAGUAAAAAGAAAGGAAUGAUGAGGCUUUUUUGCUUCCGUUUUGGCCGCUCUCUAUUUUGGCCUUUUCUACUUGCAAAGACGCUAACUUUCAGAAGAGUGAUGAACAAAAAAUAAUUGUUUUUUUUUUUGUGGCAAGGAACAUAUUUUAAUUAUCCUUGCGGUCCCUCUAUCUUCUUUUUAUUUUCCAAAAUGCCUCACGGUUUGUAUUGUUUAACUUUCGAUGUAAUUCGAGUAAGUAAAACUGUUUACAUGAGGAAUAAUAUAAAGGGCAAAAUCAACCACUCUUUUAUUUUUAUUCCAUUUUCCCGAUUAUAUUCUUCUUCUUUUAUAUGCAACAACGACAGAAAAUUUCUUCUUUUUUUCUUUUAAAGUUCCAUGAUGUUGUUUUUACAUUUUUUUCUUUCAAACAAUUUGUGUUAGUAGGUAGACUCGUUAAAAACUAAUAAGUCCGUUGCGUGCUGCUACUUCUCUUGCUCCAUGAAUCUUUGGAUUUGUUAGGAUUUAUCUAUUUUUCUUUCUUUUUGUAUAUAAAUUUCGUUUUUCUACUGCAUGAUUUUAGGUCAGGUUCGCCCUUUCUGCAUUUUUCAUUUUUUUUUGUUUUUUAUUUUCAUUUCAAAAUUCAUAUUAACAUGUACAUUUACACUCAUUUGAAGACAUUAUAAUAAAAUAGUGUCUUCAUAUGUUAUGCAUUCAUGUUCACUUUUUUUUGUUACAAGUCUUAAACAACUCAGAAGAAAUGUUUUGUCAAAAUAAUAAUUUAACUAAUUAAAACUUUAGUUUUUUCAGACUUUAAAAUAGAGUUUUUAAAAAAAAAAUCUCUUUAUUAGUCAUAGGUAAUUUAAAAUUGAUUCCUAUGUGUAUGUAUGGUUUGAUAUUUAUAUCUACAUUUAUCUGAAAGAUUUUCAAAACCAGGGUAUAUAUAUUUUUUUUUCUUUUAUAUGAGAUAUUACUGGAAUAAUAAAAAUAAAUUGUGUUUUUAAUUUUUUUUUGUAUGGUGAUAUGUGUAAUAUUUAAAAUUUAAAUAUAUCUAUAACAGUGAAUAAAUUUAAUAAUUUUAUUUUAAUAUUUUCUACAUUUUGAUUUUUGAAUUUAUAUUAUUUUGUAAUUUUAUAUUAUUCAAACAAAUAUUUUGAAUUUUGAUCUGUAUUUGUUCUGCAUGAUCUGCUUGAUAUGUAUUUGUUCUGCUUGAUAUGUAUUUGUUCUGCUUAAUCUGCAUGAUUUGUAUGAUCUAUAUUUUUAUUUAUCUACUAGAUUUUAACUUUGUGCGUCCGCACGAGAAUGUUUUAUUUUUUAUUUUUAAUAUAAGUUGCAUUUAUCAUUUUUGUUUAGAUAUAAUUUAUUUUUGUUAUUUAUUUUUUUAAAUCAAAAAAUUGUUAUCAUAUUUUAAUUUUAAACAGUAAAAUUUGUAUAUUAGUAGAAUAAGAGUAUACAUUAAUUAAGUAUACAUUGAUCUAAUGUUAAUUAUAAACUUUGUUAUUAUGUGAAUUUAGAUUUACACAUAAACAAUCUAUAUAUCUAUAAAUUUGCUAAUCCAUCCGUUUAGUUGUCUUAAAUCAUUUUUAAUAUCUUACAUGUUUUGACAAACUAACCCGUAUAAAACUAUAAUUAUAAUUGUAUAGAAUAUUUGGACCAAUUGAUUAUGAAAAUAUAUAAAAAGAUAUUUAUUUACUAUUUGUGCUAUUAAAAAAAUGUAUAUAUAUAUAUAUAAAUAGGCUAACAUGUUAGUUUAAUUGUCUCAAAUCAUCUUAAUAUCUUACAUGUUUUAAUAAAUUAACUCAUGGACCUUAAAUAUAUAUAUAUAUAGAUAACUCUAAUCAGCUCGAUCAUAUUUUUGUAUAAUAUAAAUAUUUAUUAAUCUCAAAUAUUUAAUAUUUUAGAUCGAUUGUUUAUGAUAAAAUACGAUAAAAUAUUUAUUUACUAUGCAUUUUUAUAAAAAUAUUAUUCAAAUUUAAAAUUUAAAAUUAAAUAUUUUCUGUAUUUAAGAAAUUAUAAAGUAUUGAAAUUAUUAUCUAAAUUUUUGUAAUAAAAUUUAAUUAUAAUUUUUUUGAAUUUUUUGAAUUUUAAUUAAAUUGAAUGCAAAUUUUUGUAACUAAAUUUAGUUAAAUUGAAAUUUAAAUUAAAGAUGAUCUAGAUUUUAAGAUAUCUAAAAAUAUCUAAAUUAAUAACUAAUUUUCGGAAAUAAAAUAUAAAAAUAAAAUAAAAUAUUAUAAAAAAAAACUUUGGGAAUGUUUGGAUGCAAGGACUAAAUAUGCUUAUGUUUUAAUAGAAUAGAUAGAUAUCACCAAUCGAAACCAUAUUUUAUUCUGAAAUCUUGCCGAUUACUGUUGAAAAAAAAAACGGAAUAUAUAUCAGAUUGUUGAACAACAGAAUCCACCGUCCUCGUCGCGAAUUUAUAAAUGUAUAUAUAGUUGUGACUUGUAACUUUAAUUAUUACAUUUCGUUUUGAGUGAUACCUCUAAUACUUAACUAUGUCACCAUUGCGUUAUUUUAAGGAACAAGAAAAAAAAAAUUGUAUUCCAGUAUUUAUGAUUGUUAAAAUUUUAAAAUGUUUUCUCCCGGUUGCAAACAAACAACUCGACAUGCCACAACAAUGGAAGGAUCUGUUUCGAAAGAAUUUAUAUUUUAUUAUGUAAAGUAAACCAAUAUUCAACGAAAUCUUAUUAUUAUAUAUAAGACGCGUUUGAUUGGUUGAAGAGAUUUACAAAAUAAUAUUUUCAUGGCGAUGUUUUACGAGAGAUGCUUGUACGCCAAAUUAAGAACAACUGAUGUGUCGUUCUAUUCUCUUCCCAUAUCGUAUAUGUGUAACAUGACAAAAUCUUUUUUUUUUUUUUUCACGGCUACACAGUCACAAGCAAAGUUGUCUUGACUUGAUGACACGAGUUCCUUUGGAUCAUAAAAUUUAAUAUUCGUCGUAUAGUAAAAUCAAUAUUCAAUCCCUCCUCGACAAAGUAUAGUUAAUUACUGGAGCUGUUCUAUUCGUUUACGUUAGAAAGAUUCUGAACUCCCCGUUAUAUAUUGUAAUUAUAUCACGUUUCGGAUUCGUAUAGAAAUUUCUUUAUACGAUCUCAAUUUCCUUUAUUGUACAAACGUUGAUUUUAAAGCCUCUUAAAAGUCUGAAUUCUGUUAGAGGUAGUAUUAAGAUUUAGAGAUAGUUGGUUAUGAAUAAAAGGGCUACUACUCGUCCCCGUUAACAGGAAACAACAACAACUACAUAAAAAGUAGGAACAAAAACAAUCGUCCCUCCCAUGUUUUCAGGGACGUUCCACCAUUGCAGACCCAUUUAGGCCCAUCCGUAUAUCGUGGGAAUGAAACUCAGUAUGAUUGAUCGAAUAAGGAAUAUUUAUUUAUGUUGGGUUUUUUUUGGGGCCAGACUUACAUAUAUCGGCCUACAUUUCUUUCACAAACAACAAUGUCGUACUAAAAACGUAUAAAUAUUUUGAUUUUGGGGGGGGGGGGGGUGCAUAUUAUAUGAAAAUUCCAACGAAAAGAUGAAUUCAAAUGAAAAAGACAACACCACCAAAACGAUAUAUCGAAAGUGAACCAAAACACUUAUUGGGCUUUUUAAAUAUUUUUUUCAAUUUUAUUACUGAUAUAUUGGUUCCCAUUCACGUGUACUAUAGUGUGUACUACAUAUAACCAUGUAAUAAUAAAACUAUAUAUAUAUAUAUAUAUUCUCGAAGUAUCUGAAGACUUCUAGAAGAUGCCAAUCAACCAACGUAAUAAACUUUGUAUCGAGGCUUCGGGCUAACAAAAUUGGAAUUGAGUUCCUUUUUCUAUUUCUCUUGAAAAUUAAUUUCUAAGAAACUCUCUUCAGAAGUCUUUAUAUUCCACGAAAACAUCCUUUUAUAUUUAAAGAAGAAUUGACCACAAAUGGUAAGGGGAGUUCAAUUUGGUUAAACUGAACCAUACUGAAUUGAACGAAACUGAAAUAGAAUAAUAUCUUUGUUAAUUUCAGUUAUCUUAUUAUAUAAUAUAUAUUAAAUUCUAUAGAUUACUAUCGUAGCUAUGUUACUAUUAUAGCAAGAAAAACAUUUUAUUAAUGACUUAAUGUUAUGAAGUUUUUCGAUUUUUAUCAAUAUUUAGCUCAAGGAAAGAAAGAAAGAAAAGUAUAUAUAAGGUCAAGAAUCAAAGUUAUAGUACAUUAAGGAAAUACUUAAAAAAUAUUCACAUAAAAAUUAAAAAUUAAAAGAAAAGCACGAUAAAUGUUUGAAUUCUUACGACCAUUGGAUUGUUUGAAUUCUUAUGAACAUUGGAUUCACGUAUUCGUUAUAUAUAUAUAUAUAUAUAUAUUCUCAGAAGAAGGGAACAUUAUUUGAAAUUUGUACACUUUUACCAAAAAUGCGAUAAAGAAAACGUUUCAUACGCAACAUCCAACAAUAAGUAAAAUUUUAAACUCAUGGAACUUCCAUUUUAUGGAAUCUGAAUAAAUAAAUUACAAAAUAAGGGACCGAUAAGUAUUGUUGACUAGUACAUCUGUACAUCUUAAACAAACAAAAAAAUUAGAAGAGGUCAAAUUAUAGGAUUCCGUUAGCUAAUUUAAUCAGAAGUUUCAACUCAUCGAGUGCGGUCGGUUAAAGCGCUUUUGAUUGACCGUUAUAAAACGCGUCAAAGCAAAAUCACGCCUUGCCACGUGUUGGUCAUUUUCUUGGUGAAUUGGACACGUUUUAUCCAACGUGUCUUAUUCUGUCGGAAGGCUCUCACUUGUGACGUGUCUUUUAAUUAACGGUAUCAUACAUUUGGCGGCAGUUUUGAAGCGUUGGAGAUCCUGCCAUCUUUGCUCCGUUUUCUUUUUUAUAAUCUAUUUUUUAUUAACUUCUGGAUAUUAAAAGAACUAAUCUAAUCGCAGUGUAGAGUACCAGUGAUGACAUUUUAAUUGGAUAAUCAAAACUUGGAUUACAUUUUACUAUAAAAAUAUGUAUAUAUAUAUAUAUAUAUAAAUCACCAUGCUUUUUCUUCUUUUGUCUACUUUCGGUUUUUUCGUGCUAAAGUUAUGUUACCUGUCUAAAUCAGGAUAUGAACUUUUGAAAAGAAAAAAUAUCUAUUAAUCAGCCAAAAUUAAUAGAAAAUUUCAAACUUUACUUGUACGCUUGUAGCUUUGUAUUGUACUUGCGGUUUAGGCGUAUAGGAUAUUUGGUUAACUUACAUGCAACAUACCAAAAACAAUUAAGUGAUAAUGGAUUAAUAGUUUCUACGAUGAGUUAUUAUUUAAUUCAAAUUAGAAUCAAAUUUUUCCAAUAUACUAAUGUGCUUUAGAUCAAUUAAAACAAUUAUAGUUAAUUAGCCAUUUAACUGCUAUACUCAUUCGGUAAGAUUGGUUGAGUGAUAAAAGUGUGAUCCCUAAUGAUUAUAAAAAGAGCAUACUAAGAACAAAAAAAAAUAUAUAUAUUUUUGUCAAUCCAGGAUUAAUAUUAAGUAUGAUAGAUUUUUAAAAUUUGAAAGGGAUCUUUAUUUUAUUUUAUUUAUCUUUCAUUUGGAAUCUUAAAGUAAUUAAGUAGAUAUUCAACACAUGCAUUGAUUGGACAAGACGGUCCAAUAAUUUCUUUCUAUUAAAUAGUUAAGAAGAAGUGAUAUGGAGAUUAGAGAGAGUGGGACAGAAAAAGAAAUUUGAUUGGAAGAGAGCUAUUAAAAUGAAAGGAGUGCAUGAAUCAAUGAAAAGUGAGGUAGUGAAUGUCUCUAUCUCUUAUUUUACGCACUUUCUUUAAUCAUAACUCAUUUUGUCCUCUCUCUAUGAGAAAAGUCGAAACAAUGUGGAGGUUAUGUUCGUUGCUUAUUCAUAAUAAAAUAAAAAUUUAAAAAUAACUAUACUGUAGUAACUAAUCGAGUAUCCAGUACUUAUUGAAGUUUUAAAUCUUCUGAACAAAUUCAAAAAAGAUCUUUUAAUUUGUUUGACAGAGUUACAAGUUCUAUACCCACCAUUGUAUUCUUAAUUCAAUUCAACUAAUAAAUACACUUGUAUAUUGUUUUUAUAUGCUUUUUUUUUUGACAUCACUGUUUUUAUAUGCUUACAUAAUUUGUUUUGCAAUUUUGUUUUCGACAACUACUAGUUUUAUCGUAUACGAGUAUAUUCGGUUUUUCGUUAGAAUGACAUAACAUCGAUUAUAAUAUAAUUCAAAAUAAUCUUAUGUUUAAGAAUUAAUUGCUAACGUAGAAAAAUGAUAUUAUCAUACGGCUUGACUCUGAAAUUAUAUGUGAACGGGUGCCACACAUGAAUUCUUUCGUAUAAGGGUUGUUUGUUUAUCUUGAUUAAGUGUUAUUUGAUAGCAAAUUAAAACAUCUAAAACGGAGAACCAGGUUCCAAAAUGGUCGAUGUCUACGCGAUUUCAAGAGUUCAACCGUUGGAAAUUGACUAAAAGUUCCUGGAGAUAUAUAAUAUAAUAAGUAAGCCAAAAUAUCCAUAACAAAAGUAUUUGUGACUCAUACAAGAGUAACAAGGACACAUGUCUUUUGAUGUGUAAAGUAAUAAACAAAAGUCUAGAUAUUUAAUCGCUUGUUUGAAUCUACUAUAUGCAUGCAAGGCAUUGUGUUAAAACAAACAAAAAACUAGGAGCACUGAAAAACAAUGCAAGUCAGUGCUAUUAGUACUUAAGCCCAUCCCAUCGCGCCUCAUAUAAAUGAAAAUAGAAGAAAAAAAUAUCCCAAAAAACAACUGUAUUGGUUUGGUACUGUUGAAGAAGACAAGUUAACUCUAAUUUAGCUACACAUGGUUAGUUGGUUACAAUAACCAAAUUUAUUAUAUUUUUAAAGAAAUAUAUGAUUUUUGUCCUUUCUAUGUCUAAAUAAGUAUAGGAUGCAUAUUAUUGUGUUCAAAGCGGAUUAGCUUUUUAAAUAUUAUAUCAAUACCCAUACCCGGCCCUCCACUUGUUUCUAUAUAGGCUAAGCUUUAUCAAUAGAUUUUUCUAAAAUUAAUUGUUGUAGUUUUUAUAUAAUCAAAACCGUAUCAUAUCAAAAGCAGUCCCUAAUUAUUCCGAAAAGUGUGAUUAAGUACACCGAACCUAAGAUUACAAAGAUCAGAAAGGAAAUAAGAAAAGCUUACAAAGAUAAGGCUCCUCUAAAUACUAUAUUAGGUCAAACAAAGGCAGGGUUAUUAACUCUAUAAGUCACUCUUGGUUAGGUACGAAUAAACGAACGACACCUAAGGUCUUCGAGAAUGGAGAUCUUAUUAUUAUCAUAUCUCUUAUAGUUUUAUUUACUCACAUAUAAAAAGAGUUAAAAUUAUUAAGAAGCAUUUAUAUAUACUUUCUAAUGGAAGGGGACUUUAGGCCAAGACUACCAAUAAAAUUAAAGGAGUGUCAAUUAGAUUCAAAAAUUACCAAAAAGAAAACCAAAGUGUUUAAAAACUUAAUAAACAAAAAAAAAAAUAUGUGUAAUAGUAUCUCACAUUUGGGCUUAGCAAGGACCAGGUUAGUCCGAUGAAUCUAAUUAUUUCACACUUAAAUGUUUUUAAGUGAAUAUUAGAGUAUCAUACUAGGUUUUUUUCUAUAUCCUAUGUUUAUUAGAAAAAUAAAGCAUGUUACAAACAUGAAAAAAAAGCUCAGACUGAUCAUUUGAAACUUGUAAAAAUAAUAUCUUUUUAUAAUAUUUAAAAUAACGUUAAAAAUAUUCCAAAAGAAGACCAUUGUAUACUCCACAAAGGGAUUUUCUUGAAUCUGACCUUAAAUCCCAACUCUCUCGAAGUGGAAACCAUUGUAUGCUGCACUGAUGCGGCUUGGAAGGCUGAUUCUCAAUUAGCAGGUCUUGGUUGGAUCUACAACUCACACCAAAGACAAACUUCCAACUUUUUGGUUUUUUCAUCACAUGUUUUGUCGGUUCUGUUGGCAGAAAGCAUUGGCGGUGAAAUCUGCCCUUAUCUACGUUAAGUCUUUGAAUUUCACCAAAAUCUCCAUCAAAUCGGAUUCGCUAACCUUGAUUCGGUUAAUCAACUCAAGCACUUUGACGUCGGAUCUCCAUGGUGUUCUAUCUGAUUAAAUCUCUGUGUUGUUUAAUCAAUUUCAAUUUUAUUUCAAGAUAAAAAAAACUGUAAACUGACUUAUUAGCCAAACAAGCCCUUAAUGAGCUGGUGAAUGAUAUAACACAUUGAAUUUAAUACAAGAAUAGUUGUCCAAAACAAAACAAAAAUGUUAAAAAUGUCCUUUAGGACAUCCACUAAAAGAAUACUCUUUGAUUAUAAAUAGUUAUAAUUAAGGUAUAUAUACUAGAAAUAAUUCAAUUUUUUGUUUUAUCUCUUCUUAAUGUACUAUAUAAUAUUAAUUUACUAAUUAAUAAACUAAAAGUAUAGAGAUAAAAGUAAAAAAAUAUCAAAAAUAUGCAUUGAAAAUAUAAAAGACAGUUAUAUUGAAACAAAAUUUAAAAUCUUAAACAACAAUUAAUAUAAAAUAGAAUCAGUAACUUUAAAAGAGGUGUGAGUGGAAGUAUGUAUCUUAAUUUUAAUGUUGCUAUUAUCAUAAAUUAUUGUUAUUAGUGACAUCUACUAGUACUGCACAAAAUCCGUGUGGUACAAAACAAUGCCCUCGUCUCCCGGCAUUAGCAGGAAAUAUUUUACAAACAAAAAAAAUAGUUAGGUAUAAAUAUAAGUAUUCGCUUAGGUUUAUAGUAAGUGUUCGCGUAAAUAAAAUAAGAAAAUCAUGAACUAAUUAAUAAACCCCACUUCAGAAAUUAACUAUUAUUAAUCAUCACAAUACUGUGUUGUGACUCAACGUUCAGGUACGAUAGCUAGCUUACGCAUAUCUUUGGAACGACAACGGUUCGAUGGUGGGAAUAUUAUUUUAACUAGAGAUGAUUUAUUGUUUAUAAUACUGACCAAAACAUAUUUAUUAAAAAAAUCUUCAAAUUAGCCAAUCAGACAAAUGACAUUCAGUUAAUAUAAAUUGACCGUUGCCGACAUUAGGAUUUUGCUUUUAGAAAAAUAACUUUUUUUUUGUCUCGUUCUAGUGGUCGUUUAAUUCGUUGCACGUAUUUUAUUAAUAAAUGGCCGAAGCGGUAAAAAUGCGGCAUAUUCGCAUCUUUAAAUUGCUCGUAUGUUAUUCAUUUUGCCAGUUUUAAGCUAUUUAAUUAAAUCAUGUGUUAUUAGAUUUGUUAUAUGUAAGUCAAAAUUUGAGAGUUUAAUUUUAUUCAACUAAUAUAUUUAAAACUAUUCUCCUCACUCUGUGUCAAUUGGUUUUCUAUGUUUUUGUGUGUUUUACAUUAAAAUUUCUAAAAUAUUUAAAUUAAUUGUUAUUUUAUUAGUGUAAGAUAUUUUAUGAUUUCUAAAAAUUAUAAAUGAUUUGAAAUUGUUAUUUGGAUAAUAAUGGAAUAUUAUAUUUUUUUUUUUUAAUUAACAUCGGAGACAAAAUUAUCAGAGAUUUAGCGAAAAAGUCAGCCAAAUUAAUGUUUUUUGUAAUUUUUAAAAAAAAUAAUGAUGGAUUCAAACUGUGAUGAGAACUGGUUAGUGUCGUGCAUAAUAUCGUAGAUCCCCUUUACAUUAUGUCAUGUUCUGAUGGCUCAAAUGAGAUUUUGUAAAUUGGAUUUGAUGUUGAUGAUUUUUCCAACCGAAGCUUAAUGUUGGUUUAAUCACCGAUAAUAUUGUCAACGCUUCUAUAUAUUGGAAGGGGAGAAUAGAUAAGGGGUUUCUAAAAUGUUAGAAACAACUUUGUUUUUGUUUAUACCAGUAAACUCAUUAGUCAUUAUGAACAAAGAAAAAGAAAAAAAAAAAACUUUGUGCCACGCCAUGUCAAUAAUUAUAGCAAAUGAGACAUUGAUCAGCUCGAAUUCAGUAGUUAAUUUGAAAAAAAUCAUUUAGAAAAAACGAAAAAGGAAAUUGCUUGACUUGUAUCUUAUCUGAAGAAGAUAAUGACAACGAUUAUUAUGAAUGCCUAUGAAAUUAAUAACGAUACGUAAUAAAAUAAAAAUAUAAAUAACGAUACGUAAUAUGUAUUGAGUUUGUGAUCGUAGGAAAGUGGUCCGUGAAUAAAUACAUUGAAUUUUGACCAACUUUACAGGCUGAUGGAUCGGAGGAAAAUAAAACUCCUCUUCUAAAUAGAAACAAAAACAAACUAUAUGAAGUUGAGAAAGUCUUCUUCUAGUCAUUGCCGCUUAAUAUCCAUUUUUACCUUCCUGUUGACUGAUUAAGCCAUUUACUUUUUUACAAAAAAAAUUUAUAGAAAAUAACGUGGAAGUUUAAUGACACAAUCAAUACAUAUCGUAAUCAAAAACAUAAUGAACAUAUGCGUAUUCACACUAUUAUUUUAGGUACUAUUCAGAACUUUUUUUAAGAAAAAAAAACGUAUGUUUAUACCUAUGAUAGUUUAAUAAAAAAAAACAAGUAUCUGUAUCUCUACAAUAUUCGUAACAAGUCAAACUACAAACUAAAACGUAUUAAGAAUUGGUGUCAGGUUUCAUAAACACAUUAUUUGUUUGUUUUAAGUAUUUUAAAAAUAAAUAAACUUAAUUUAAAAAACUCCACAAUAUAUUUUUCUCACUACCCUUACUUUUAUUUUACAUUAAAAUUUUCAGAAUUUAAUUAGUUCCCAUUUUUUAAAUAUGACAUGGUGGAAUUGGACUGUUGUCUCUAAUCAGCUAAAUAGCUUGAAUUUUCAAAAUUUCUCCAAAAAAAUAAAAAUAAAUAUUGGGUAACGUAGCUAAAUCAUUCAACUGCACGCAUAACCAGAAACAACUGGAAAUUUAAUUUGCAUGCAUGAUAUAACCAGAGAUAAAAGAAAAAAAUUGCUAAUGAAAAUGGGAAAAUGUAAAAAUGUUUUAUAAUGCAAAGGGGUUAGUUUCUUCAAACUUUCCUUUCGGGUACCGGACAUAUUAAGGACAUGAUUAAGGAUCACAAGUUCGAAUUUCUUAAGGUCUAACCCCAAAAGAAAAAUCAGCUUGUAUUCCGAAGAGAACAAAAAACAUGCGCACGAUAACAAAGCAGUGUUUGGAGUGGUCCCAUAUUGUGGAGUUUUCCCUGCAACUCUUAGUAGUAACAGAAACUUGAUUUGACACCUGCCAAAGAUGCCCCUAAUUAAGUAUGUUCCCCUUUUUCUUGUGCUUUUCUCUCCAAGUAGUUUUUUGUCAAACUUCCAAUGUCGUCAUACCCACACAUUUUGGCUCCAAUUAUUUACAUUCACAUACAUAUAUAAUCAUAAGAACAUUUAGAACUUAUAAAAGAAGCUAGAUUUUGAUCCAUUUGAUUACACAAUUGCAAAACAAAAACUAUGAAGUGCUGAUCAAAUACGUUUUAAAAUGUGCAUAUAUAGAAAAAACGAUUUGUUCAAAAUAGAUAAACAAAAUUUUUUAGGUGACACAAAUAAAAAUUUAGAUCGUUAAACUUUUUUAUUUAUUUAAUAAUUAUUUUGGUCUGGAUUUUGUUUUUGAAAGGUUUAAUAAAUGCAGAAGUCAAUCUGUUUCACAGCCAUUUCCAUUACAACAACCAUAAGUGAAAAGAAAACAUAUGUUUCGUGGUAACCGAUUAAAGAAAAUCUUUACAGAUACCAAAAUUUUGAAAUACCAACCAUUCCUUUUCUAUGUAUUUGUAAGCACUAAACCAUUCAUCUAAUUAAUCAUAUGAUAAAAACACAUGUAAAUAUGUAUAUAUACUAGAUUAGGGAGAGAUACAUAUGCACUUUAAACACAUGCAAGUAUAUUGUAUUUCUGAACGCUGAUUGGCCGGUCGGCGCAAGGCUAACAAAAAGUCAGGGACUCAGGAGCACUUGGGUUGGGUCCCACGCGCAGAAGACUGAUGUGGGGCCGUUACCAUAAGCAAACGGUUUUUUUAUUUAAAUAUAUUUUUGGUUAAAUUAGAGUGGAUGGAGGUCGUAGUUUUAUCAGGUGAAGGCUAUCUCCAUAUUGUCCAAUAACAUGGGAAGAGCCCCGCCAAACAAAAAUUGGAUUAAAAUAUUUGUAGAAAAUUCUUAUCCAUUUAGAAUAUACCCACUCUUGGAAAACGGGUAUCCAUAAUUUUUUUUUUUUUGGUUAAUGAGAUAUCCAUAAUCGUUUAUGAGUAUAUAUUUACGUACUUCCUCCUGGCGGAUCAUUUGUUUUAAUCAAUAAUUUGUAUAUUAUAGUUUUAGUAUUACUAUAAGACACUCACGGCUUAGACUUGUCUUUGGGAUCUAUCAUGUACUAAAAAUAUCUGUUACAAUGCAUCAAACAAAAUCAACCGUGUGAUAUAUAUUAAAAAUAUUCUAGAGUAAUAUUUUGUGAAUUUAAUUGUCAAAUGUACGACGUCUCAGUUUAAAACUAGUCAAAAUAAAAGAAAUACCCUCAUUUUUAUUCUUUUUGAUUUUGUCUUAUUUUGGACAAGGAGAUUUCUAACACGAUCGAAUAAAUAUUUUUUAUAAUUCAUGUGAGAAACCAAAUUCCAUUCAAAAUGAAUCAAUCUAAUUCUAAUACCAAGUAAAUCAUUUUUAUAAAUAAUGGUAUUCCUGCAUUUUAUCAUCUGAUUAAUUGCAUUAAUUAGGCGAGUAUAAACGUCUAAGUAGUCUAAUCACCAAGUUUUCAAACAAAAUUUAAAACAUGACACUAUUUCAAUUUUCCAGAUUAAAAACCAUGUAUAAUUUAUAAAAGAAACUCACCAUAUCUCUUCUUACAUAGUACUACUUUUUAUCUUAUUUAAGCUUUGAGAACAAAAUCUUAAUAUUGAAAAUGAAAUACAAGUCCAGAGAGACUGCAAGGAAUUGGUUGCAAAUUUGCAAUGAUGUCAAUGCUCGAGAACUAGUCAGUGGUCUUCAUCAUAUUUGACGAGAAUGUAUCAUGACCUAAAUGCGUUUUUUAUGUGUUUUUUACGUAAACAAUAUUACUUCAACUUCGUCAGUCCUACCAGCCGAUUUAUUACAACAAUAUUAUACAUGCUGAAAAGAAAAAUUAAAAUUUUGAAACUGCGUUGCUUUAGGACUUUCAAUGAAUCAAUGUUUUAUGUUCUGACAUGUGCGUGCGCAAACACAUGGUGACGAAAUCUUUUGUCGGAUAAAUGUCAUCCAAUAAAAAUUAUACAUGUGUCUGAAAGAAAAACUUUGACUCUUUGACCACAAAUUGUAUUUUGUCGUGGUUCGCGCCAUAUUUUUGAGGACCAAACUAAUAAAAGAACUUUAGGAAUCUAAGGUAUUGAAUGGCGACAUGUUAAAAGCGGUAUUCUACACAAAGAAAUGAAAACCGCAUUACAUUUACCAAUCAAACAAUAUAAUAACACAUUUGCGUUUUUUUUUAUAAAAAAAACAGAAAACAGAAUGCGUUUUUUUAACAUGUAUAAUUGAUGGACCGCACACUUAAAAUGGAACGCAGAGUUUGUGCAGCAGUCCAUAUAGAAAAACGCACCGAGCAACUUUUUAAAAAAUUUAAUUUUUAAUUAUUAAUAUAUGAUAAACAUGUGUCACAAAAUAAUUUUUUGUGCAGUCUGUUUAAUUUAAAAUUUAAAUUGUUUUCAAAAUUUUGGGUUUUCUAAAUAUGAUAGAUGAUAUGAACAGAUAUAUGUAUGUUAUAUUUAUACAUAUUAUUUAUUUUUAUUAACAAAUAAAUUAUAAUCUUUAUACUUUUCUAAACACAUACCCUAUAUAUUAUUUAUAUUUAUAAUAAAAGACAAAAUUAUAAAUACAUUGUCAAAUCAAAAUAUUUGAUGAUUGUUUUUAUUAUAUUAUACUUUAUUUAUUAUGAAUUAUUGUUUUAAAUAUUUGAAGUUCUGAAUAUAUACAAUUGUUUAUUCAUUAACCAAAAUUAAUAAUUUAAUUCUAAUUAUAUUAACUAUUAUAUAUUUUUAUAAUAUAUUUAUCUAUAAUCUGUAAUCCGUACCGCUUUAAUUUUAUUCACCAUUCAAACAAUUUUUUGUGGACUGCAAGCUGUUUUUUUCACUAAUCAAACAUUAUUGUAUACCGCUAAUUAUAUAAAAACCGCAUUUGUCUCGCAAAUAUAUUUUUCCGCACGUACCGCAGUUGAACCGUACCACACUCUAAAACCGUUUUUUCCGCACAAUAAAAAACGCUGUCACUAUUCAGAGCCUAAAUCCAUUCGUUACUUUUACAUAAAUUUUCUAGAAUUUUAAAACGGAUUCACCAUAGGAGCACCGUGCUAUUUAAGACACGUGUGUUUCCUUUACAACAAUGCUAUGUUUAAAUAUGAAUAUAUAAAACAGAAACAUAGCAAAUUAAUAGAUAAAACAACUGAAUUUAGUUUUUUAUCAGAAAAAAACAACUAAAAAUUGAGUCGCAUAUGUACUACACAGCGUCGGCUUAAGAGUCUUACACAAUAGCUCAAUUAUACGCAGAAUUGCUAAAUCGGAUAUUAUUGGAGCACACAAUUAUUAAUGUGACAUGUGACGUGAACGAGUCGACCUUUGACCCACCAGAAAAAUUAGAAACCAUGGAACCACGUCUAAUCGAUUAGGGUUCUGACAAUAUUCCAUUCUGAGGAGGAUAAGAUUUCUGUUUUUUAUAUAUAAUUCUUUGAAUUCAGGUCACAUUAUAUAACCCUAUUAAUUAUUAAGUUACACCUCGUAUUUUUAUCAGUAUUCAGUUUGUUCAGUUUAAGUGUUAUGUUAUUGAUCAAACCUCAUGUUACUUUCAAGUGUCAAAACAUAGAGAACAUAACGUUCCCACUCUUCUAUUUUGUACGGUGAAAAAAAUAUCUCGACGUGUACUGGAUGUAGCUCUCGUUACUAGUACUUUGGGUGAUAGAGUACCCAGUAGCGGAUUAAAAAAAAAAGUUUAGUUAGAGACAUAAAUUAUUAGUAAGGGACACUUGUUUUUACCACUGAAUUUAUUUUUAAUUAAAUUUGUCUAAAUAUUUAAAAUUAAAAUAAAAAUAAAAAGAAUGGAGCACUGGACCCCACUUUUACUUGACUCGCUCUGCCCUGAAAGUACCCGGAUUUGAGUCAACUCACAAAAUACGUGCAAAUUUUAAAAAUUAGAUAGACAACAAUUCAUGAUAUUUUUUUAUAGAUUCAGUAUAUUAAAAAAACUGGAUUUUCUGUGGUAAAAAUUAAUAUUGGUGUUAAUCCAUCUGUCAAUAAAAUCUUAUAUAUUUGUUAACAUUUAUUUGCUAAAUUUAACCCUACGUAAAACAUUCAUAUCCACCUACUAGAUCAUGGUUAAUUAAGAACAUGCGUACUACCAUCAUCAUAAGCAAAAAGUUACAAUUAAUCGAGUUAUCAGAAAAAGACUAAACUCUAAAGUACCGCAAAAUAACUUAUUAUUAAAGUUAAACCAAAAAACCUUAUUAUUAUAUUAUUGGUUAUUGUAAAAAAAUCUUACACCAUAAUACUCGGGGAGUAUACAAUUAUUGAGGUGUCUCGUGAGCCACGAGUUCGUCCGUUAAACACAAUCGCUACCUUUCCCGAAACCAUGUUGUGCAUACAUACAUAUAUCCUUAUGUAUGUGUGUAUAGUAUACACAUCGUGUGUAAACACUAAUAAAUAUUUAAGAUAUAUAAAGACACUCAAAUUAUAAAUGAGGUGUCGAUAAAACUGACGUGGCGAUAACUUAUCAUAUAUGUUUUUGUAUCUUUUCCAUAAAUUAUAAAACUAAAAAGAAUUGAUGGUUAAGAUCACAAGCAUGAUUGAAAUUAUUUAGAUAAAAUAUCAUGAGGAUGAUCGAAUCAACCGUUAAUUUUAUAUUACAGUAUGUUGUUAUCCCAUUUUUUAAUGUUCCCCUCCACUUUUCAUGGACUUUAAUUAAGUCAUUGAUGACUCUAAUCAAACGAGACAGAAAAUCCCACUUAGCUAUAACUUUUUAUGAGGCUGUAUUAUAAAUUUUAAAUAUACUUUUUCUUUUUUUUUCUAGCGACAUUAUAUUGUAGGAUUUGGUAGAUAAGCCUAUGUCGUUGGCAUUCGCAACGUGAAAUCUUUAAUAUUUAACUUUUAGUUAACUGGCGAUAUUUUAACACGGGUACGGAUUCACCAAUCACCACCUAGCUAGGCAUUAUGUCAUAGGUCGUCAAGGAAACCUAAUUAACAUACAUAGGUUUCAUUUCACAGAAUAUAUCAAAUAAACCAAAUUUAGUUUUUUUUUAAUCAGUGAUUAAAUAUAGAACACACAAGUAUAUCUACUCUUUUUGGAUGGACAAGGUGGAGAAAGAUCUAUCAAAACUUAAGAACAACAUAAGGAAAUGAUCAAUUGAUCAUUUGUCGAAUAUUGUAUGCGAUAGAUAAAUAUUAAUAUACAUCGAUGACGUUCGGGUAAUGAUACUGUUCCCCGUAUGCAAAGUACUGAUUCUAUUAAUUUGUUCCCAUGCAAAUCGGAAAAACUCAGAAUUUCACUUCUUUUAUAGUUAUCUUAUAGGUUUAAUGUCGUAUUGGCUGGCGAUACCACUUUAUUCAUCUUCACUACAUCUAGCAGCAAUAAUCAAUUUUUAUUUUAAUUUUCCUUUUAAAUUAUUGUAAAAAUUAAAAAAACAGUCACGCAUCUGCAAGAACUUGGAUGAUAAUUUGAAAACUUUUAGUAAUUAGUUCAUAAUCCUUUAAUUGUACAUCGAUCCUAUAAAAAGACUAUAUCCAUUCUCAAUUUUUAUCAUGCCGCUGCAAAACUUAAUACGUGCAUGUUUCUUCUUCUUCUUUUUUUUGGCACGAAUGCAUGCAUGUUUCAUUUUUGUUUUCUUAUAUGUUCGACUACUAUACGAUGAAUAUUCUAAUAAUUGAUUAGAAUAUUUUCUGUAUGUUUUGGACAUGUUUUUCUUGUAAUGAUCAUUCAUAAAAAUUUAUAAAAGUUUGUAAUCUGCUAGUUUAUAUUAAUAACGUUGCGAUGUUAUAUCAAAUUUGGAAGUGUACGGGGGUGAAUUAUAGUUACGUUGGAAAGUCUUACAAAGAUUUAGGAACCGUAGACAACUGUUCUAAGAACAUAAGAUCGUGUAAGUCCAAAAGGGCUUAUCUCGAAACCAAGUUGUCGAAGAAACGUGUAUUACCCAUUAGAUCGGUUUUUAGAACAUAAUUAUAUAUGAGUGGUUGCCAGAAAAAGAAUAUAUAUAAGUGAAGAUGUAUUAAAAGUUUAUACCUAACGUUGACGGUUUAAGAUAAUAACUAACUAAUUAAAGAAUAAAUAAAGUAGUGACUUUUCCUGAUUCAUUACCUUUCAAGGCUUCAAGUACUUUUUAGUAUAUCAUCUUGUUUUAGUCGUAUGUAAAUCAAAUGGAGCGCAUGAUUUUAAUUUUGUUAAGAAUACGUUUUUAUGUAUACGAGACAUAAAGAAACCUAUUCAUGAUAAAGUUCACGGAACUUAAUAUGCUAGUAAUUUGAUCUAAAUAAAAUGGCUCAAAUAAAAUAUAUUAAAUUGUUGAUCAUUUAGUGAAAGUUGACCCGAGAUGGGUUGCAAUACGUACCCAUUAUACGUACACACAUAUGAGAUAACUAUGUAUAUAUAUAAAACUUUUUUCUUUCUACAAAAUGAUGUAUAUGAAAUUUAAAGUUAUUCAGGCGUAUACAUGUUUGAUAGUUCAUUCAAAGAUAAGUAUACAACUGCGUUUGCAAAACAGUUUAGUUAGGUGUUACGGUGGGAAAAAAUUAACAGAAAUUGUGUUUGUAAAAAAAAAAAUUAAAAGGAGAAAGAUUAAGAGAUGAUAUCUUCACAUUUAGACCCAAAAAAAAAGAAGAAGAGAUGAUAUGGAAAAGACGAAGAUAAAAAGAGAGACAACAAAAAAAAAGCAAGCGUGAUGGAGAGAACUAGAGAAGAAGUGAAAAAGAGAAGGAUGCCACGUGUUAUAUGGCAGAACUCGGUUAUGAGGCAAAUACGCGGGCUAUCUCUAAAACGUGUCCUCUUCACUAACGACGUACCAAACCAAUUCGAUUUCACUUCUCUACCCAAACAAAAAAAGAAAAGAAAAAAGAGAGAAAGAUAGACGACACAAUGGUCCAAUCGGAGAUUAGUGAGACAAUACAGACCCAAAUGUCCUUUUAGUCAUCUAUUUACGUGUUAUUUUCUUCUUAUUUUAUCCAUUUUCUAAGAUUUUUGUUUUCCUUUUUAAAAUGUCCAAAUACACCUAAUUUUAUAAUGCAAUUUUUUUUGUUUUUACACGAGGCCAUAUCAUGAUUAUACAAAGCUGGUUUGGUGUAGGGAUUCUUCCUUUCGAUUUCUAUAUGCUUCUAUUCUGUUAAACUAUUAGGCGGAGGUUCUAGAAAAUUAUUACGUCAAGAAGUGUGUUUUCUUUCGUUAAAUAUAUAAUAUGCGAAGUUUGUUUCGUUAAUAUAUAUAUGUGUCGACAUAUUAUUCCCACAAAUUCGAAACUCUUCUAGUUCUUGCAAUCUCAUAAUUAAUUAAUGACUCGAAUCUUUACAUAACAUAGACUUAAACAAGUAACUCUGAAUUCGUAGAUCGAGGACUUAUAAUAUGAUUAGUAAAAAUAAUAGGGAAAAAUAAUAUGCUAGUGUGUUUAGACUUUUAAAGGUACCAUCCACGUAUAUCAUAAGUUUAGAUCUUAAAUGGUCAUAUAAAUAAAAUAACAUAUAUUGGGGAUAAAAAGAAAUAUAUCCAACAGUAACGAUGAUUUCUAAAAACUUAAAAAGUGAUUCAGUUAGUAUUUGUUGCCGACAAGUCUUUGGGUAAAUUGAUUUAAACUUAAUAUGUAAGAAUAAAUGUGAUAAAAAAAAAAAACAACACAAAAAUUUGAGAAUUCCUGUUUGAGUGUUGACCCAAUAUAUAUAAAAGGAGUGGUCGAACAUCUCUAUAGAUCUCGUCAACUAAAGAUCUAAGUGAAAACAACAACAAAAAAAAAACAUUAUCAAAGUUAAUAUCUUAGAGAGCAAGUCAUAUGAUGUAACACACCGACUUUUGAAGAUUAAAUUGCGUGCGUAAAGUACUUGUGUUCAAUUAGUGAUUUUGUUCAUUUCUAUAAGUUAUGAUUUUUUGGGUAACUGGAUUUUAUGAUAUUAGACAUCUGAAGGAGCUACUAAUUAAGUAGUGGACGAUAUUUUUUCGUUAUUCAGGUAUAUACAGAGCGAUCGAGACACAAGAGUAUGUUAUGUUAUGUAUCAUUUGCGUUUUCAGUUUUCAUUUUAGGUUUUCAAUAGUUUCAAACAUGAUAAGUUAGAAAGUUUCAAACGUGCCAAAAGUUUUUUGGUACAAAAUUUAGUUUUUAAACAUGAUAGCUUCACUAAUUGUGAUAGAUUCAGAAAUUGGCUCCAAAUGUUCCUAUCUCGCGUUUCAUUUGUGUGAUUCGGCUCCUAAAAGUAGGUAUGUACUACCUUUUUAUUCAAUGUGUAUUUGCAAAAGAGGUUUGGACCUCUUUAUUCUCGUCAAGUCACAUUUCACCUCCCAUGGAUCUCUUGGACAUUUUAGUGUGGAUCAAGACUUAAGACUCCAACUAAAGAUGCGAAUCUCAAUGUUAUUUGUAAACUCUGACUACAUGCCACGGUUUAUGUAAAUUUUGACAGGCGGACGGUGUUCAACAACAUCUAGACCGUGGCUAGUCAAUCCUCGAACGCAUUCUUCUGUUCUUGGUGCAUUAUUUCAUGUAUUUUCACAUCUCGCUCUUCUGAAACACGACUUGAUUGCUCUAUUAUAUUAUGUUGCUUGUGUCACUUUACUAGAUAGUUAUUAUAAGUUCUUCGUAUUCUUAUCUUUGUAAACUAUUUUUUUUUUUUUUUGUAAAAGUUCAAAAUGUAGAUGAGAUGUCUGUGUGCUUGUGUCCGUGCAAAUAAGAAAUGUCUACACACACAAGAAAGAAAAACUCUUCAAGUCAAGUAAUAGGACAAGCUAAAUGAUGUUUCAAUACUUGUAUUACUCGUCUUUUAAAUUUUAACACCACUGGCUAGACCACAUCACAUGUAGAAGGAAUUAUGAAGUCUAAGAAAUUUUCAUGUGGAGAUGGAUAUGCCAAGUUGGAGUUUGCAAACAAGAAGCUCUUGAGCCACGACAUAAGCCAAGUUGAUGAAACAUCAUAUUGCCAAUAAUUGCAUAAAAACGUUUUUGUUGGUAUUUAAAAACAUAUAUAACUUUUAUUCAUGUAAUUUUAGGCUCAAUAACCACAAAAAAUUAACAAUUAAACAUAAGAAAUUGAUUAAAAUAUACGGUGUAUAAACAAAAUAAUAUUCAAAUAUGCCCCGAUUAAAAACAAACACAAAAUGGCAUAUAUCCACCUUCAAAAAUAGAUGAGUGAAUCUAAGUAUUCUUCAGUCUAUUUAGAACUUAAUAACAUUCUAUACUACGUAUUCUAUGUAGAAUGGCAUAUUCACCUUCAUAAAAAAAAAAAGAUAAAGAUAAUUUUGUCCCUUUUUAGUCAAAAAAUAAUCAUGUUACUCACCUAAAAUUUCUAUUUAAAGGCUAUAUUCUUAAUUUUAAUUUGUUUAUUAUAUUAAGAAUAUAACAUUUUCAAUAAUUUUGAAAAUUAUGUUACCCAUUCAUCAAUUUUGUUAGAGUUCAAUUAAGAAUAUAACAUUUUUAAAAAAAUUAGGUGAGUAACAUGAUCUAUUCAUCAAAUUUGUUAGACGAAAUUCAAACUAUUUUAGAAUUUGUCUGCACUUGAAUUUCAGGUAGACAAACUAUGCCCUACAAUGCUUCGAACCACCGAUCGCAGGUAAGUUGGAUAUUUUUUUUACUAAAAUAGAGGUUUUUUCACAACCGAUGUAUCUUCAAGUUGGCAAAAGAUUGAUAGUUUUUGUUAACAAACUUAGGAACAAAAGAAGCCACAAAGUAGACAAAUGGAGUUAAAGAUUGAAGGGGAAGAUUGAAGGGGAUGCAUUUGUCUAAGUGUGAAAGGUCUCAACUUUGAACCAUAACAUAUUACUCUGUUUUUUCUGUUUGUUCCCAAAGUACCCUUUUUCCCUUCAUACCCACUCACUCCAUUCCUCUCUCUGUCACUGAUUCAACACGUGGCCACCCAUAUGGGACCCACCAUUUCCCUUACCCACCUCCCGGUUUAUAUAAACCCUUAACACUUCCUCGCUCCUAAACCAACUCUCCCUUCUCUCUUCUCCUCUCUUUCUCCACUUCUACAAAAACAAAAAAAAAGCAAAAAACAGAGCCUUAACAAAUCGGAAAAUUGAACUCUCACUUUAAGCACCAAAUACUGAUUGCGCAAACUUAAAAAAAUGGCUUCUUUCACGGCAACGGCGUCGGUCUCUCGGAGAUGGGUCGGUGGCAAUCAUACUCAGCCGCCAUUAUCGUCUUCUCAAAGCUCCGACUUGAGUUAUUGUUGCUCCAUACCCAUGAAUAGUGGUGUCCAAAAAAAGCUCACUGUUUCUUCUGCUCUUCACACUCCUCCCGCUCUCCAUUUCCCCAAGCAAUCCUCCACCUCUCCUGCCAUUGUUGUUAAUCCCAGAGCCAAAGAAUCCGACACUAAACAGAUGAAUUUCUUCCAGAGAGCGGCGGCGGCUGCUUUGGACGCGGCGGAGAAUUUCCUCGUCAGCCACGAGCGACAACAUCCGCUACCUAAAACCGCCGAUCCUAGUGUUCAGAUCGCCGGAAAUUUCGCUCCGGUGAAUGAACAGCCCGUCCGGCGUAAUCUUCCGGUGGUCGGAAUAAUACCCGAUUCCAUCAAAGGUGUGUAUGUGCGCAACGGAGCUAAUCCGCUUCAUGAACCGGUGACUGGUCACCACUUCUUCGACGGAGACGGUAUGGUUCACGCCGUCAAAUUCGAAGACGGUUCAGCUAGCUACGCUUGCCGGUUUACUCAGACAAAUCGGUUUAUCCAGGAGCGUCAAUUGGGCCGACCGGUUUUCCCCAAGGCCAUCGGCGAGCUUCACGGUCACACCGGAAUUGCUCGACUCAUGUUAUUCUACGCCAGAGCUGCAGCCGGUAUAGUCGACCCGGCACAUGGAACCGGAGUAGCUAACGCCGGUUUGGUUUAUUUCAACGGCCGUUUAUUGGCGAUGUCGGAGGACGAUUUGCCUUACCAAGUGCAGAUCACUCAAGGUGGAGAUUUGAAAACCGUUGGCCGGUACGAUUUUGACGGGCAAUUGGAAUCCACAAUGAUCGCCCACCCGAAAGUCGACCCGGAAUCCGGCGAGCUUUUCGCUUUAAGCUACGACGUCGUUUCGAAACCUUACCUGAAGUACUUCCGAUUCUCACCGGACGGAACGAAAUCGCCGGACGUCGAGAUCCAGCUCGAUCAGCCGACGAUGAUGCACGAUUUCGCGAUCACGGAGAAAUUCGUGGUGAUACCGGACCAGCAAGUCGUUUUCAAGCUGCCGGAGAUGAUCCGCGGUGGCUCUCCGGUGGUUUACGACGAGAACAAGGUUGCGAGAUUCGGGAUUCUAGACAAAUACGCCGAGGAUUCGUCGAAAAUCAGGUGGAUUGAUGCUCCGGAUUGCUUCUGCUUCCAUCUCUGGAACGCUUGGGAGGAGCCGGAAACAGAGGAAAUCGUCGUGAUCGGGUCGUGUAUGACUCCACCGGACUCAAUUUUCAACGAGUACGACGAGAAUCUCAAGAGUGUCCUCUCUGAAAUUCGCCUGAAUCUCAAAACCGGAGAAUCCACUCGCCGUCCGAUCAUCUCCGACGGAGAACAACAAGUCAACCUCGAAGCAGGGAUGGUCAACAGAAACAUGCUCGGCCGCAAAACGAAAUUCGCUUACCUCGCUUUGGCCGAGCCCUGGCCUAAAGUCUCCGGGUUCGCUAAAGUUGAUCUCGCCACCGGAGAAGUCAAGAAACAUCUCUAUGGGGAUAACCGUUACGGUGGAGAACCUCUGUUUCUUCCCGGUGACGAGAAAAACAACGGAGGAGAAGACGACGGACACAUCCUCUGUUUCGUUCACGACGAGAAGACGUGGAAAUCGGAGUUACAGAUAGUUAACGCCGUUACUUUGGAGGUUGAAGCAACGGUUAAACUUCCGUCAAGAGUUCCGUAUGGAUUUCACGGCACAUUCAUCGGAGCCAAUGACUUGGCGCAGCAGGUGUGAAGAUUAUGUGUAUAUACACAUUCCUAUACAUAUAUAUAUAUACGUGAUGAUGAAGAAGCUUCUAGAAGAAAAAGAGAGAGGGAUUUACCAGUGGGAUGCUCUGCAUAUACGUCCCCGGAAUCUGCUCCUCUUGUGUUUUCUUUUUUUGAUUUUGCUCUGUUUCUCUGUAUUUUUUUUUCCUCUUGGGGUGCGGUUUGCUAGUUCCCUGUUUUUUGGGGUCAAUCUAGAAAUCUGAAAGAUUUUGAGGGACCAGCUUGUAGCUUUUGGGCUGUAGGGUAGCCUAGCCGUUCGAGCUCAGCUGGUUUCUGUUAUUCUUUCACUUAUUUGUUCAUAAUGAGAAGUAUAUAUAAAUAUAUUAAACACAAAACUUUGUUUAUAUAUGUCUGUAUAUGUUCUAGCAAACAUGACCAAAAUUAUAUCGGAUUUAACAAUACGCUAUGAGUUCAAUUUUAGUUUAGUCUUCUCCUUUUUUUACUUCUAGAAACGUUUUCUUGUUUGUGCCAUCAUCAAGUGAUUUUAUUGGUAAAAGUAUAUAUUUUCAAUCUUAAAUAAUGGACCAAUGAGAGACAGACAAGAGUCAAGUAAACUUUUGGACUUCAAGACAAAAUGUAAUAACCAAAUCACACGCCGUAUAAAUUUAGUUAGUCAAUUUUGGUAUUUGCAUGGAAGAGAAUCGCCAAAGUCAGUUUCAGUCAAUUUCGAAAUAGAAACCAACGAGUGAAGUUAACCCACGUCAAAAAAGAGUUAAGUAUGUAAAGGACAUCAGUAACUGGUCGUUGUCAUUAAAAAAAAAAAAACCUAUUGUUAUUUUGGUAAGCAGAACCGUAAACAUUGGAUAUCUGGAGUGAUGGGUGGUAACACAGUGGAGAGACCAAUCAAAAAUAGUGGAAUUGUGACGAAAUUAACGGCACUAUUUUUAUAUAAUACAUAGCAACGCAUUUGUUGCUUUUUCUUAUAUAUAUAUUUCUAAUGUUGUUUUUAAGAUGCAAAACUUAAUCUGAUAGGGUGAUCUAUGAAUGUUGGGUGUAAAAAUAAUUAAAUACGUAAACAAAGAAAGCAAAGUCAACUAUCGGAAAGAGUGUUUCGGUGUUUUGAGAUUAUGACAUUUCCAAAGUAAUUGGUUUGCAAUGAUUCACAUUUGUUAUCAUUUAUCAACUCUAGUUAAGGAAGAGUAACCUUAUGUUGCUUGUAUUGAUUUAAAACCUGGUAAGUUUUACGUACACGUUAGUCAUCGAUCGUAUUGAUCUACCUAAACAAUUUGUUGUCAAAGUGUUAAUAACGACUAUACGUAUUUGAACACAACACCCAUAUAUAACAACCCUUCAAUUACUACUCCAUGUUUAUUUCGAAACAUUGAGGGUUGAAAUUUUGAAUUUUUUUUUUGUUAUAAUUACCAAAGAAACUUUUCUACGUAUUGUCUGCUGUAUGUGUGUGUGUGUGUACAUAUAGGAUAAGGGAAAUAGUUAAUUGUGUAUGGUGUGCAAACUGCAAAAGAAGCACAAACUGAACAUUCCAUAGUUAAUGCUAAAGGAUCAAAAGCACAUUACUUCACUUUCAUAAUUACACGAAAAUAUCUCCUUAAAAAAAAAAUCUUAACAUGUUUACCAAAAAAAAAUCUCCUUUUUUUUGUCAACACACGAAAAUAUCUCAAACACCAAAAAGUGUUAAAACAGAGGUCAUAACAUGAUUUUGAAAGAAAAAAAAUGUCAAAAAGAAGUAUUAAUAUUUGGCCAACUUGGAGAUAUCUUCAUAUAUGGUGGAUUUUUAAUUUGUUUGUUUGUUCACGUUCUCUUCCAAUACACUAGAAACCCACUAAAUAACUUUCUUAUUGGAUACUAAUCGUAGUAUAUAUAUACACUGUGUUUAGGUUUUUAGAGACUACUUCACGUAUAAAGAUAUGAAAUCGAAAAUUAGUUUUUGAUUUCUUUCAGGGUUUAUUGUAACUACAAAAUAUUAUGAAGUAAGCCGAAGAAUUAUAAUAGAUAUAUAAUACAAAUAUAAUAUGUUCCUGACUGAAAGACUUUUAAGAUUUAACGGUUAAGAAUGAAGGUUUGAACAAAAUUGGGUCUUCUAACCACUAUUUCGAUCAUAAAUAGUUACUAUGGAUGCUUGAAAUGACAAACAUAUUCAAAUAUUCAAUAUAUUUUAGUGUGUAAUUUGGGUUUCGGUGUGAGGUUUCCUGGUUAUAAAAAAAAUUAUUAGAAAAACUUGGUUAAUGUAAAGUUUUUUUUUUGCUUACAAUUACGUGAUCUAUAUUUUAUAAAUAAUAUGGAAAGCGAUCGUUUGUGUGUGUGUUCUUUUUUUGUUUGUUUUACAUUCGUGUUUAUUAUUUAUACACAAGCGUCUUACAGUAUAUAGUUAUACACGCCUCCAGUGUCGAGUAUCAUCCUUUAUGUUGAUAUUCGAAAAGUUUUAGGUAAUAAUAUCUUUAAAAUAAAUAACAGUUGUGAAAGUUCGUUGGAUGCAAACAUAUAAUCAGAAAAAGAUUCAUUGGAUACGGCGAAAUAAUUGAUUCAAACAAAAAACAAAAAAAAUAAAGGAUACGACGAAAUGUGUGGGUUGCAUUGGCAUUACAAUACUUAAACAUUUGAUUUCGGCCGUCCACGUUUCAGUGUCAAUAAUGUUAUAAUAUACAAAUAUAUAUAUGUGAGGGAAUCUGUUGAAGCCAACAAUUAGAUGUUUACUAUUUGCCCAAAGUAGAAGGUGACUUUUUCCCCACCUAAUUCAAGCCUAACUACUUUCCUUUAGUGGAAGGUUGGCACUUACGAAUUCUAUUUAUCUAUUGGCAGUUACUACUUACUCUUACCUUAUUUAGUCAGCGAAAUCCGCCAUUGUGAUUCGCAGAACCUCUUUUUCCUAAAGAAUUCGCAAGACGAUAUGCUAACAUGUGAUUCUUAUAUAAAAAUAAUUUUGAUAUAUAUUAUAUAUAUUUAAAGGUUACAUAUAGACUACAUGUGGUAGGUAUCGUAAGGUUCUUCAUAGCAAAUAUGUGUGCUUUAAUAUUAUUCCCAUAACGGUAGAUUUUGUAUCUAUCCUAGUAUGGCGAAGGCGGACCUUUCCAUAAUGAUAUGGUCCAAUUGUGGAUAACAAAUAAUUUAGCUCAAAAUAAAUGGAUGUAAAGUUAUUUCUUACCAUCGUGAAAAUUGAUAAUGGAAUAGCGGAACUACGAACGGACACUUGUAUCAUUGGAAAAAAGUAUACGAAAAAAUCACAAUCAUUUUAGCAUUUUCUACGAAUUAUCAAUCAAACCGCAGUACAGUAUCUAGUAAAUUAGUAACUGCCGUUAAGUACCUAUCCCAAAAUAAUGCUUCGAAGGCCAUAAAGUAUAAAAAGUUAAAAACUGUAUCUCUCUCUCUCUCUCUUUCUCUCUCUCCUCUUUUGUUUUCUAAUUUCUACCUUAUUUGUUCACUCUUGUGACCUGGCCAUUGACUAGUUUUGCGGCGCUUUAUUUGGCUUUUCCUCGAAUGGGAGAGACCACAACAAAUAAUGUUAGGAGUUUAAUGUUCUUCUCGAAAUAUUAAAAUGUAUGUUCCUCUUGAUUAUAAAAUAAUGAAAACAUUUUGUAACGAUCGAAAAAUGAAAGUCAUGCAAACAAGUGUUAGCGAAAAUGACGAAAUACCAAAGUUAUAUGAUUUUUUCUUGCAAUACAGCAAAACACAAAAAAUAAGAUAUAUUACAUAUUACAUAUGCAAUCUUAGUGAAAAACGAUUAUGGAUACAAACCAAACAUCAAACAAUUAUAUAAUGUUGUUUUGUCAAUUUCGGAUUUCUAUAAGUUAUAUAUACCUCUUUUUUUUUGCUUUGAGAUAUUAUCAUGGCUAUCUAACCAAUAAAGCAUCAAAUGAUUGAUCAACGAAAUGUCGAAGGAUAUUCUCAUUGACAAUAUGUGUCGUAUUAUAUAUUAUACAUGUCGGUAUAAAUUUUUUUGGUAUGGAGCCGAACCACGUGGCAAAUGACUACAUAUGCUAAUUACGAUCAGCCAUUGAACUAAAACUACGAAAUGCUAGCUAUAGUAUAUUGGAAUAGAUCCAAAUGUACAAAUAAAUAAUAACAUAAUAAAUAGUGGCAAAAAAUAUUGAGGGGACUAUGCUUUCAGCUACUUGACUUUUAAUAAUCAAAGUGUAGACAGCAUUCUAGUAAACUAUUAGUUAUUACUGAACUUUUACAUGUGUUUCUAUAUUGGGAAGUCAAAACAAAAGGAUGAUUCAUUGACGGUAGCGGAUACACAAACAUGUAUUUACGUGUAUAAAUUUGUGUGUACAUAUAUAUUAUACGUUUAAAAUUGAAAAAUAUGUGAGUAUAAGUUAUACACUCGAAUUGUGGUGUGUAUAUAUAUAUAUAUGUUUGUAUAAUUGAUAUAGCCACCUUGUAUAAAUACAUAUACAUGUUUAUAUAAUUGAUAUAGCCACCCAAAGCCCAAAGGUCCCUAACUAACUUUGUCGAAUUAUCAAAAGAAAUAGGGGUUUAGGGUUUUAGGAGUGUUAUGUCGUCAAAUAUAUCGAAUCUGGGUUUUUCGGUAAAUCACCACUACCUCUCAAACGUAUAACACAUCUACAUGUCCAAUAUAUAUAUAUAUUUUUAAAAUCUCUCUCUCAAGUCUCAAAGUUACCUACUAAUUAAAUAAGUCUUCGUCAUUUUCUAAUUUUGGACUCCUUAAAACUAGCAAGUCCAAUGAGAGUACUGGAAUUUAUUUACGUGUUAUAUGAUAUUUUUUUUUCCAUUUGCUUACUACUGCUACGAUUGUCGUCGAUAUAUACAAAUUACUUGAUCUUGCCUCCAGUAGAUGAUGGUUAUCGUUGGGGCACGUGUUCGUAAGCAUAAGAUCGUUGUUGUGGAUAAAAUCGAGAAAUGAUUAUUGCAAGAAAGAGCGAAUAAAAUUUUGAAAUGUGAAAGAAUGGGGGAGAGUGACGUAUAAGAUGAUGUAUACCACUAUAAUCGUGCCUCAUAUAUUAUAAAAUAUAAACGCUAACAAUGCACGCCACAUUACUUAAACCUCCAAAACGUUAAGCAUAUAUAACUAUAUGUAUAUGAGGAAAAAAAAAAUUAUAUAUAACUAUAUGUAUACUCACGAUCUCAACUAACUAGUAACUACCAUAUAUUAGUGUCAUCGAUCUAAUAAUAUAGAUUCGAAUUUUACUUGGAUCAUUAUAAACUAAUCGAUUCGUUUGUAUAUUUGAUGCUGAAUAUAUACAUUAUUUAUAGAUACAUACAGUUAAAGCUCCCCAGAAAGGAACCAACAGCAUUAAACAGCUGGGGGAUUUUGUGUUGUGUGGAGGUCGACCUUUCAGCGUUAAGAUAGGCCAAUCAUGUUUUUUCCUUUUUAAAAUUUUUGAUGUUAUUUAAUAUUAUUAAUUUACUAGUAUUUAUUUAAUUAUACUACUACUAUAGUACAAUCUUCUUUUGUUCGACUGAGUAUAGUACAAUUUUUUAAUAAGUUAUUAUCUCACUCUUUAACAUCCGUCAUAAUUUUUGAAUGUUCACGUGAGGAUCACACAUACACUGAUUAAGAUGUUACCCAUUAUCCUUUCUAUAGGUUGUUGCUAUAAUUUUAUCGAAAUCGAUCAUAGUUAGAAAACAAAACUAACACUAUAGUUCUUGGUUUGAUUUAGUUCGAUUCGUUUCUGCACUUAAGAAAUACAAUUUUGUAGGCGCGCAAUUUCCUUUCAACACAAAGACCAACACAAUGUUGCUCUAUAAUUUACACAAACAAUGUUGCAAACUAACACCUCAGGCAAUUCGAUUAUGAGAUUCGCUCCACUAAUUAUAAUAAAAUUAGGCCUGUCAAUAAUAUAAUUAGUUGAAAAAUACUUAUUCGCAUUGCCAAUAGUUUGUAUUGAGAUACAAAAUCUAAUGAAUGUGAUUAGAUAAAUUAGUGACCUAAUAAUUUGUUCGAUUGGAAGAACAUUCGUCAUGUAGGUCUAGGACAUGGAACGAGUUCCACCAUCUACAAAAUCGUCAUAAUCCCAUCUUUUUGUUAUUAGAGAUAUCUAAAAUAACAAAAGAUUAUCCAACUUCUACAAAAAAAUUAAAAAUUAGUUUUGUCAGCCCAAGACUUACCGGUUACACACACAAAGAAAACAAACAUAUGAAUGUGAUAUAAACUUGGAUAUACCUAUGUUUCAAAUCCUUAUCCAAGAUAUUAUUAAUUAGCUUAUAUAUCUUGCAAUAUCGCGACAAAAAGGUCUCACGCCUGACANNNNNNNNNNNNNNNNNNNNNNNNNNNNNNNNNNNNNNNNNNNNNNNNNNNNNNNNNNNNNNNNNNNNNNNNNNNNNNNNNNNNNNNNNNNNNNNNNNNNAUCUGUCUGGAGGCAGCACAAUGGACCGCUUAAGAUGAUACGAAAACUUAGCACAUGAUUGAAAGCCACAAAAUGGAUAAAGGAGACCGAUUUUCAUUUAUUUCCUAUUUAUUUUAUUUGGUUUUCGGUAUUUAACUUAAAAAUCAAUAUGCUUUUUCAAUCAUCAUCGUCAUAUUCCCGAAAGAGAUAAAAUGUCGAAAUCAGCCACGCGCAAAAACCUCUGGACGUAUUAGAGGUUUGGAAGGCCGAGAAGGACACAACCACGUGACCGUCAACGUAACCCACACAAACCCAGUCUCAUAGGGCACUCACUGAUUAAAAAGUAGUAGUAUUAGAAGAAGAAGAACACACCCUCUUUCUUCAACAUUCUCUCAUCUCUUUAAUGACAUGAAAACGAUGCUUCUUCUUAUAUGACCCACUUCGAAAUUGAUACCGAAAUUGGAAAAUCUGAUAAGUUCAAGAGAACAAAGAAUAAAGCAAAAGGCUGCUAAAUCAACGCGCCACCAUAUUGGAACUGCACAAAUAAAAUUUUAUGCUAAUGAAACAAUAAGACUGCCAAAUCAAAUCCGCCGCCAUCCAAGUGAAGAAUUAUGUGAGAUGAUCAACUAAUGCAACACAGGGAACAUGAUGCAUCAUCCUUUAACCUAUCAAGUUGCAAACUUUAGAGAAGAUAAAACCCAAAACCAAAGAUAGGAAAACGUUUCAGCUAUAAUCAGAUAUGACUUAAUUAUUGACACAGACCUGCAACCGAUGUUAGAAAGAGUUCCAACAUUCCAGAGCAGUGCAUAAGAGGAAAGCCAUGGCUAUAGUUAAAAACUUAAAAAUCCCUUCUUGAACAGCUUAUCGAGCAGGAACCACAAUAUUUUAAGGUCUUAGUACAAUAAUGGACAUGGAUAAUAAACCAACUAAAUCUGAGAAACUAAUUCUUUCACAAAGGUUUGCAAUUUAGAAUAUCUCAUUACAUUAAAAGGAUCUAUAAAGGUAAAGAUUGAGAAUUUCUGAAGAACUAACUGAUCAAAGUUCAAAAAGACCAUAGCUCAUAUCAGGCAAUCACUCCACAAACAGAGAAGUUUCAAAGAAACCAAACCUAAUAAAGCCUAUUGUUUUUCUUCUUCGAAGUAACAGUCGUCAUUUCGGGUUUCGGAUACUUCUCUGCUAAGAUUGGAUCUAACCACUUGAGGGGAUGACGAUUGAAGAAAGGCCAGUUAGGGACAGUGAUCAUAGUCGUGAAAAGCACAACUCCGGAAUAUAUCAGCAUCAUCGUCCGGAACGAAGACGUUGCAUACCCAGCAAUGAAAGCAACUCCGCCAAAGACUAAGAGCAGAAUCUGCAUCAGCUCCUCAGCUAGCUUUUGCCCUUGCCAAUCCAUCUCUAUAAUUUGAAAAAGUCACCACAAGUUUCCAUAAAAUCAGAACCCUUGAUUGAAUUUUUGCAAAUCAGAAACCCAUUAUGAAAAUGCUAAUUCCUAGCCUAAAGGACACCUUAAUUACGUCUACAAUGAACACUAACUUCGAGCACAUUUCCCAUUUCUAAACUAAUUAGCAAAGAUCGAGUCUCAAUUUAAUUCGUACCUGCAAAAAGGAUCAAACUUGAUCGCCUAGGAAGAAUCGCGUCCGGAAAAACUAGAUCCCAAGCCGGCAAAUGGAGUCAAGACGAAGCCGGCGAAUAUCGACUGUCCAGAUUCGCCGUUGUCUUCAAACCAACGGCCUAGAUUCUACCAAGUCGUAAAAACGUUCUAUAAAAACAUACCGUGCUAAACGCCUUGCUGUUUCUAUGUUCCGUAUCGAAAACUUGCAGUCUGUCAUAACACACAAUGAACACCGUGUCGUUUCUCGAAUCCUCGGUUAUUAGGCUCUGAUGAUAUAUCGGGCUCAUAAACAUAACGGCCCAGUUUCUCAUAAGUUAUAGAAAGGCUUUAGAUACAAAGCAAAGCAAACAUUUUCUUUUUCGUCGACGGAUAACAAACUCGCCGGAAAGACUCGGGAGAGAGAGCGAACGACGGUGGUCCGUUAUCAAAGUGGGCGGGAAGGUUUGUUGAAGAUGAUCGGCCGUCGUGCUGGAAUGAAUCGAGUUGUUAUGAGGAGGGAUGACUCCUUUCUGACUCGUUUUGUUGACUCAGUAUUCUAUUUCUUCCGAUUGGCUGAGUUUGAGAUCCUGUUUGUUCUGUUCAUCUUAAUAACCUACGUCAUCUUCAAAGAUCUGGUGAUUUCUCCCCAAAUUCGUAGAAUUUUUUUCAGUAUCAUGACGAUUUCGUAGUAAUUUCUCUCAUGUUGAUUGCUCCUCUGAACGGUUUUGUUAUUUUUGCAGACGGCGAGGCCGGAGUACAAUCGGAUUCUUGUGGAUAAACCCGGUGGAUCUGACGUCUGGCCGUUCUAAAAAUGAAGAAAAAAUAGGAAUUUUGUUUUGAAUGGUUAGUACUACUCUUGUUACUGUAAAACGGUGUGAGCUUGUACACGGCAAUGAACAGCUUAUCUUUCUUCUCUUGUACAUGUCUUUGUUCAAUUGGUCAGUGUAAUUCUCCUUCCAUAGUUAUAAUGCAUCGUUUUCGUCAAAUUCGUGAUCUCGCUCGGAAUGUUAAUCUUUGGGAAUCACAAGUAACUGAUUAGUGGGGAUAAGUAAAUGGAAUUUAGCAUCUGUGUUUCAGUUGAGCUCAAUCUACGCAUUAGGAGGUGAUGAGAUAGUUUCAUGGUUAAGUAGAGUAUGCGUUUUUGUUUCAUAUCACAGAGACUUAUCUAUGUUGUUUAAGCAAGAAUAAUGGACUGAAGGAAGAAUAACCCAAAUAGCAUUACAGAAUCUCUAGGCAUAGUUUGUGAUUCGAUAUAGGGAGAAACAAGUCUUGAGAUAAAUAGCAGAGUAGAAGCCAGUUGACCAAUCAGAAAAUGAAUAUGUUUAGCCAUUACAUGCUCUGUAUUGUUGCUGGUUGUUGACGUUCCCUGGUUGUUUUGGUCUCUCUAUAACCUGGCCAAAGGGCGUGGAGUGUCCCAUUCGGUGGUAAUAUGGUUACGGGUGAUUUCCUUGAGAGACCGGCAGCCACUUAGUGCCAUGGUCAGCUCGAACUCAUCACGUAGCAUUUGAAGCACCUUUCUCACUCCAGCCUCUCCUUCAGCAGCCAGUGAGAAUACCACUGGUCUCCCAAUCUGAGAUUGAGAGGGCAAUUAUCAAUAAUGUGACAGUUGUCAAUGGUUUCAAUCAGUGUAAAUGGAAAUAUGAUGCUUACAAAUAUCCCUGAGGCUCCAAGUGCAAGUGCCUUGAAGACAUCAGUGCCACGUCGAACACCACCAUCCAAGAAGACAGGAAUUCGUCCUUGUGUCGCCUUGACAACCUGUACACACGAGAACAGUACUGCUGAAUUUGCUGACCAGAAACACUUUCAUGAGAACACAAAUUGACUUUCAUAGUCCAGAAUGAUCCUACCUCUUCCAGGGCUGAGAUAGUAGCUGGCACAUAGUCAAGCUGGCGAGCUCCAUGGUUUGACACAAUGAUUCCUGCUGCUCCAGCUUGAACCGCUAACCUUGCUGCAAGAGGAUAUUUAUAGUUGACUUAGUUAGUUAUUUAUCAAAAUUAAGUGAAGGAAACUUUUGUCUGUCAGAUAGUAACUCACCAUCCUCUCCCGUAAUAACACCUUUGACAAGAAUUGGCAUUUUGGUGAUUGUCUGGAGCCACUGGACGUCCUGGUUUUGUAUAAAUGAAAGUUAGAGCAGUCAGAAUCAAGUUUCAGUUCUGGUUUGUUGUUUUUCUUUUAAGCUGUUGAACUCUCUUACCUUCCAGCUUAAGGUACGGUCAAUUUGACCAGCAACAUAUGAAGCCAAGCCAGAGUCAUUGGCCUGCACGUGGACACAUAGGAACGUUUAGGAAACAUAAACAUAACAAGUCUGCUUCAAAACUUGUUUUGUGACAAUCAUGCUCAGACUAUAAUGCUAGAUAAGUAUCUGAUAGAUGCUUACCUCAUCCAUCUUUCCGAGGUCAAGACCUUCAAAAUUCUUCAAUGUCAGGUUUGGAGGCAAAGUGAAUCUGUAGUAGAAGAAAGCACAUCGUUACUCUAUAAUUUCUAGCUAUCUGUUUGCAUGUUCGAAUCAAAUCAAGCUCUUGUCACAUUUCAUUGACAUGGCUUCACCUGUUCUUGAUAUCAGACUCUCUGCGGCCUAGCCUUGGGGUGUCUACAGUGAGAGCAAUAGCUUUGAACCCAGCCCUUUCAGCUCUUCUCACGAGCUGCUCAACAACAUUCCUGUUCUUGUAUACCUACUCAGAACAAUCAUAACGUGUGAACCAUCAAGUCUGACCAGGUUUAUCAGGAUGUACGACAAGCGACUGAGAUAACUUACAUAGAGCUGGAAAAAUCGAAUCCCUGGUCCUGUGGAAGCAACUUCUUCAACACUGGAAGUAGCCCAUGAAGAUAGUGUCUGAAAGCAUCACGGAAAUACUCAAACCAGAGACAUGGGGUAUGCGUGGAUAUUGGAUUAAGAAGCUCUAAACACCUGAAAGUUUAAGUAUCUUUGCUUAAGAUGAAAUCUUUCGUAAUAAAAUAAUAACAUACCAUGAUGGUUCCAGCUGCAGACGCAGCUCUAGCCGUAGCAUAUUCCCCUGCAUUAGUUUCCAGUAGAGUCUUUAGAACAAGGCCUUAGUCUUUUGGUUUUAGCGGUGCUCAAAAAAGUUUUCACUAUCUACUUAACCAAGUUUCUACAGAAUGUUUCGCUUCUCGCCAGAGUGUUUUGCAGGAAAAGGCAGAAGUCAUUUACCUUCCGGGUGAGCCAUCUUUUGCAUGGCAGUAGGAGCAACCAUGAUCGGCAUCGAGAUCUUGAACCCCAAGACGGUUGUUGUCAUAUCAAUCUUGCUCACAUCAAUCAGAAUCCGAGGCCGAAAGCUGUUAAACAUCCCAAGUUAUGUAUACCAAAUAACAACGUGUUCUCAUGUCUUAAGAAAAAAAAAAGAAGAAAGAAAGAAGAAGAACUCACAGGAUCCUUGCGAAAGCGUUUCUGUUCUCUUGAAGAGUCCAUUGGUCUUCUGCGCCAGAGGCAUAGUAGUCGUAUACCAUCUUAGGCAACUUCUGCUUUGCGAUAGCUUCAUACUCGGUAACGUUUGUGAUCUCCAUUUUCCGAUGCUGGUCUGUCAAAAGAGCAAAAAGGCCUGAGUUAAUAAGUUAGCUGUAGUGAAACUCAAGAGAUAGUGCACGAACGCAAAACACAAUCUGGUUUGUUGUUAGUCUUAACACACAGAAUCUCACACACCUUUGAUGGGGAUGGAGCUCUCGGGAGAGAUGAAGGGUGUGACUGGUAACGCUUAUAUUAUCAUAUAUCUCACAAUGUUUUAUUAUUGGUUAAAAGUUAAAUACACCUGUAAUGUAUUAAUUGGCUUGUGAAAUAUAUUUUCUAACAAGUGAAAAUUGUUGGCAGAGGAAAAAUAAUAUGGAUGAGAAGCUGAAGGUGAAGAAUGGAUGAGAAGAUACGGACAAGGAUCAGAUGGGGUUGUGUGUAUCUAAUUCACUAGCAACUUGUGUGUUCCCUAAAUUUUCUUUCAUAUUAUCGUGCUUAAUCUCAUGGGGAGAAAAAAAAAAAAAUCGUAAACCAAUUGGUUUUCAUUCUUUUGAAAGGACAUAAAUAAAUCCGAGUGGAUGAUGAUAUGGAAGAGAAACUAAAAAGCGUGCGAGGAAGAAGAGCCGGAUUUUACAGGCCUAGUUAUAAACCUUAAAGCCCAAAUACUAUUGGGCUUAACAAUGGGAGAAAGAGUCCAUAAUUUGUUGAUGCAGAUAAUCAAAGUAUAGUCGUUUCUGUGAGUGUGCCCGUGUUAAAUAUUUAAGCUGUUGUUUUGAUUGAGAAGAUGGAAAAUGCUCAGUGAAGAAGAGCACGAAAAGGGGGAAAAAGAAAAACAGAGACAGAGUCCAUAACUUUUAUACAUUUAUCGAUUUCAAUGGCGGACCGGAGCAGGGGCUUUCUGAGAUGAUUUUUGGGACAUGUGCUCUUACAUUCUUCUCUAUAUCGCCAUUUCAACCGGUCAAAUCUCUUAUUCAGUAAGGUUUCACUUAAAAUUUCACAGCUUCUCUGUAUCUACGUUCUCGCAUCGUUUUGUUCUGUGCACUUUCGAUUUGUGAACCGAUCUCUAGUUGUCUCUAUUGUAUAAGUAAGAAGAUUGUACUGAAGGUAGAAGUAGCCAAAUAGCAUUACAGAGAGAAUCUGUAGUCAUGUUUUGUGAUUUUCGAUAUAGCGAGAGAAACAAGUUUUGAGAUAAAAAAGGAAAAAAAGCAGAGUUUAAGCCAAGUAUGAAGUGAGCAAUGAUAAGAAUAAAGUGUAGCCAUUACAUGCCCUGUCUUGUUGCUGUUCUCUGGUGGUUGUUUCUUUUCUUUCCUCUACAACCUGGGCAAAUGGCGCGGCGUGUCCCAUUCGGUGACAAUGUGGUUGCGCGUAAUUUCACUGAGAGACCGGCACCCACUUAGUGCCAUGGUUAGCUCGAACUCAUCGCGUAGCAUUUGAAGCACCUUUCUCACUCCAGCUUCUCCUUCAGCAGCCAGUGAGAAUACCACUGGUCUCCCAAUCUGAGACCGAGAGGGCAAUUAUCAAUAACGUGACAGUUAUCAAUGGUUUCAACCAGUGUAAAUGGAGAUAUGAUGCUUACAAAUAUCCCUGAGGCUCCAAGUGCAAGUGCCUUGAAGACAUCAGUUCCACGUCGAACACCACCAUCCAAGAAGACAGGAACUCUUCCCUGUGUCGCCUUGACAACCUGAACACACGAGAACAGUGCUGAAUUUGCUGAUUCAAGAACACAAUUUGACCUUUAUAGCCUUGAAUGAUCUACCUCUUCCAGAGCUGAGAUUGUUGCUGGCACAUAGUCGAGCUGGCGAGCUCCAUGGUUUGACACAAUGAUCCCUGCUGCUCCAGCUUGAAUCGCUAUCCUUGCUGCAAUGAGGACAAUAAUUGUUGAUCUUGUCAAGUAUUGGAAACUUUUAAGUGAUGGAAACAUUUCAUUUUUCAGAUAGUAACUGACCAUCCUCCCCUGUAAGAACACCCUUGACAAGAAUGGGCAUGCUGGUGAUUGUCUGGAGCCACUGGACGUCCUGUUUGUGUAGAUGGAAGUUAGAGAAAUCUGAAUCAAACAAUCAAGUUUUGCGAUGCUAAUUUAUGGUACUCUUUUACCUUCCAGCUCAAGGUACGGUCAAUUUGACCAGCAACAUAUGAAGCCAAACCAGAGUCAUUGGCCUGCAGGUGGACACAUAACAAGCUCAGGAACACUUAGGAAACGUAAACAUAACAAGUCUGCUUUAAGACUUGUUUCAUGAGUAGAUCACUGCCAUUAUUCAGACGAUAUAUGCUUACCUCAUCCAUCUUUCCGAGGUCAAGACCUUCAAAGUUCUUCAGUGUCAGGUUUGAAGGCAAAGUGAAUCUGUGUAGAAGAACACAAAUCGUUACUUCACAAUUUUUUUUGCUAUCUGUUUGCAUGUUUCUAUCCAAUCAACUCUUGCUGUAUACUUUCUUGCUAUGUAUUUGCAUAUUAAAUUUCAAUCAACUCUUGUCACAUUUCAACUGACUUGGCUUUACCUGUUCUUGAUAUCAGACUCUCUCCGGCCUAGCCUUGGGGUGUCUACGGUGAGAGCAAUGGCUUUGAAUCCAGCCUUCUCGGCUCUUCUCACGAGCUGCUCAACCACCUUCCUAUUCUUGUAUACCUACUCACAACGAUCAUAACUUGUGAAACCAUCAGAUGUGACCAAGUUUAUCAGGGUGUACGACAAACCACUGAAGGUACUUACAUAGAGCUGGAAGAAUCGGAUCCCUGGUCCUGUGGAAGCAACUUCUUCAACACUGGAAGUAGCCCAUGAAGAAAGCGUCUGAAAGUAUCAUGGAAGAAAACAAGUCAAACCGGUAUGCAUAAAUGGUGGAUUAACAAGCUCUAAACACCGAAAAGGUUAAGAGUCUUGCUUUGAAUGAAACCAUUUGUGACAGUAUAAUAUAACAUACCAUGAUGGUUCCAGCUGCAGAAGCAGCUCUAGCCGUAGCAUACUCCCCUGCAUUAGUUUCCAUCAGAACAAGCCUUAGUCUCUGUCUCUAUUGAUACUAAAGCAAGUUUUCACUCUCUAUAACAUAACUCGGUUUUACUGAAUGUCUUGCAGGAAAAGGCAGACGUCAUUUACCUUCUGGAUGAGCCAUCUUUUGCAUGGCAGUAGGAGCAACCAUGAUCGGCAUCGAGAUUUUGAAUCCCAAGACGGUUGUUGUCAUAUCAAUUUUGUUCACAUCAAUCAGAAUCCGAGGACGAAAGCUGUUAAAACAUGGCAAAGGUAUGUAUAUCAAAUCACAUCUCUUGUAAAACCAAUAAAAUAGUGUAUCUUAUCUUAAGAAUAAAAGGAAAAACUCACAGGAUCCUUGCGAAAGCGUUUCUGUUCUCUUGAAGAGUCCAUUGGUCCUCUGCACCAGAAGCAUAGUAGUCGUAUACCAUCUUAGGCAACUUCUGCUUUGCGAUUGCUUCAUACUCGGUAACGUUUGUGAUCUCCAUUUUCGGAUGUUAAUCUGUCAAAAGAGCAUAAAGUCGUGAGUUUUGCGGAAUUCAGACAUAGUCAUAUAGCUACGAUUCUAAUCUCCAGAAUUCAGCACAAGUGUUUACGUUUGGUCUUAAACACAGAAUUCAGACAUAGCUAAUACACACCUUAAUGAGAAUGGAGCUCUCUGGAGAGAUGAAGGGUGUGACUGGUAAGCAAAGCUUAUAUUAUAUAUAUCUCAAUCUUUGUUAGUUAAAUGUUAAAUAUUUGUGUUUGAUUAAUUUGUAACUGUGUAAAACUUGUUGGCAAGUUGGGAAAAUAAUAUGGAUGAGAAGCUGGAGGUGAAGAAUGGAUGAGGAGAUACGGACAAGGAUCAGAUGGGUUUUGUCUAAUCCACAAGCAACUUGUGUGUUCCUUAGCUUUUCUUUCAUAUUAUCGUUCACAAUCUCGAGGAAAAAUAAUAAAUUCAUAAACCAAUUUGAUUUUUCUUUCUUUUUGAAAGGACAUAAAUCCAAGAAGUUGAUGAAACUGAAACUUGAAAAAAAAAAAAAUUUAAAAACGCGUGCGAAGAAGAACGAACAUUCAUGGGCCUUAUAAACAGAAGAACGAACAUUCAUGGGCCUUAUAAACAGAAGAACGAACAUUCAUGGGCUUUUUAUGUCACAAAAUGCCCAUCAUGCGCGACCCGUCGAGGAGGAUAAUCAAAGCGGGACCCACUUAAAGUCGAUCUUCUCUCACCGUCUUUCCUAUAUAGAGCUGUUGUUUGCGAAGAUGGAAAAGUGUAUGCUUCAGUGAAGGAGAGGAAGAAAGGAAAAAGAAGGAAAGCAACUGGAAAAGUGGAAGAAAAAAUUAAAACAGUGGUGACAAAUUUUUUUCCGUGAUCGGAGAUCAUCACAAUCAUCGGUGUCAAUGGCGGAUCGGAGCAGAGGCUUUAUGAGAGAUGAAUUCGUGACCUAUGCUUACAUUCUUCUUUAUAUCGCCCUUUCUAGCGGUCAAAUCUUUUUCAAUAAGGUUUAACUAAAAUCUCACAACCUGUCUUUCACUAGAUCUGUGCUCUCGCAUCGUAUUGUUUUGUGCUCUAUCGAAUUUGAAAACCAAUCGCUAGUUUUCGUAAGGAUUGAGCUGCGUCUGUGGGGAUUUCGGUGCAAUGUAUGAUUUUUCUGACUCUGAUUGAUUUCCUGGAAGUUAACUAGCAGAUUUUAGAAUUCGUGGGUAGUGUACAAAUCAAUGCGAAAUGUCUCCGGUUUAAGGUUUGAUCGCGUUGCGUUUCCUCUCGUUUUAAUCCGGUGCAUCAGUUUUUCAGAUUAGGUCCUUGUCCCUCGCUUGCUUAUGAAUUUCUAGCUGUCCUGUGAUGAACUUCUUUAAUCCCUAAGAAUUGCUAUAGUUUUGUACGGUAGAUAGUAAAUUGUAGUCACAUAAGCUCGGUUUAAGUCUUGAGGGCUGGUACUGAGAUCAGUUGAUUAGGUUCAAUGGCGGCCUUAUGAUUAGUUAUGCGUUAGAGACCAUCGAAAUUGCUAAAUUAUUAGUCAUGCGAAAGUUUGCUUCAUGACUAACGUUCUUGUCUCUGACUUGCUCUUCUGCAGUGGGUUUUGUCAUCUAAGGAAAUAAACUUCCCUUAUCCGCUUGGAUUGACUUUACUUCAUAUGAUCUUUUCCUCUGUCUUGUGCUUUAUUCUUACCAAAGUUCUUAAGGUAUCCAAUCUUGCAACGAUCUUAUUUUAUUUGUUCAUAAGUAAGAAUGCAUAUAUUUCUCACUUUUGGUCCCUUUUUUUUUCUCUAUUUAUUUCUCCAUGAAGAUCGUGAAGGUUGAGGAAGGAAUGACACUAGAAAUGUAAGGAAGAGAGAGACUUAGUAAGGAAUUUUGUUUUGGAGUAGUUGAAAAUACCCAUAACUUAAAAUGUGGUACUGAUCUUUGGUUUAGUAAUAAAGAACUCACUUUAUGUACUCAGAUAUGUUACAUCAGUUAUUCCAAUAGGUGCGAUGUUUGCAAUGACCCUCUGGUUGGGAAACACUGCCUAUCUGUACAUAUCAGUUGCAUUUGCCCAGAUGUUGAAGGCUAUAAGUAAGAAGACCUUACUGCUCUUGCUCUCAUUUCCUCAUAAGUCAUAUGUCUACUUCUUAUAUCUUUAAUGAGCUGGACUCUGGAUAGUGAUAUAAUCUUGUAUCAUACUUGCAGUGCCUGUUGCUGUGUUUAUCCUUGGAGUAGCUGCUGGACUUGAAAUCAUGAGCUGCCGGAUGCUUUUGAUAAUGUCUAUCAUAAGUUUCGGUGUUCUAGUGGCCUCUUAUGGGGAAUUAAACAUCAACUGGAUCGGAGUGGUUUACCAAAUGGGUGGUGUCGUUGGAGAAGCCCUGCGUCUUAUCUUCAUGGAAAUUCUUGUCAAGAGGAAAGGCAUCAAAUUAAACCCAAUCUCACUUAUGUACUAUGUGAGCCCCUGCAGGUAAGUGAAAUCGAAGAAGAACUUAUCUUCAAUUCUCUCAUUAUGUAAAGCCUAAGGUGUAAAAUUAAUCUUUAUGUGCCUCCUUUCGCAGUGCUAUUUGCUUGUUUGUACCGUGGAUCUUUCUAGAGAAAUCGAAGAUGGACGGUAGUGGCACUUGGAACUUCCAUUUCGUAGUGUUGACCCUUAAUUCCCUCUGCACAUUUGCUCUCAACUUGUCUGUUUUCCUGGUGAUUUCUCACACGAGUGCUCUCACUAUCCGAGUUGCUGGUGUUGUCAAGGAUUGGGUGGUUGUUUUGGUCUCAGCUCUUCUUUUCGCCGACACAAAACUCACAAUCAUCAAUCUUUGUGGUUACGCCAUUGGUAAGUAAAAAACAAAAAAAAACUCCUCACAUAACCAAUUGUCUUUAUAGUCAAAGAGUUUAACUUCUCUUAUAAUUGUGCUUUGUGUUUUACACGCAGCCAUUGCCGGUGUAGCUGCUUACAACAACCAUAAGUUGAAGAAAGAAGCAUCCAGAGUUACCACUGAAACUCCAGGAGAUGGUGAAUCUAUACCGUUGGUAUCACAGGCUGAUUCAGAGAGGUAAUCUUUGAUUGAUUGUUUUGUGAUAUGUACCGUCCAAUUUCUAUUAACUUAUACAAAAUACUCUGUACCUGAACAAGAAAAAAUAUUUAAAUCAAUUUUUCUCCAAUUGUCAUGAUUUUAAUCACAACCUUUGGUAUGUGUACUGUAGUUGAUAUAUGAUCGUUGAGCGAAUAUGUUUGAUUUGUUUCCUUUCGAAGAAGUAAAAUAUUUUGAAAUUUCCUUCGAAGUAGAACUGAAAAAAAUAUUACAGAAGUAAAAAAUUGUCGCUAAAUCGUGUUUGACUUCCUACUCGCUCCAAAAAUGGGCCUCAAAGCCCAGUCCCAGGAUUUCCUUUUUUUUGUCGUCUUUCCUUUUUUGUUUAUCCACCUGGAGUUUAUAUUUAGAAUUUUAAAAAGGAAAAACGGAGAGGAGAAGGAAAAAAAUAAAAAAAGAGGGUAAAAACGAAGCCUCGCGUGGGGUUUGUUGCUGGGCGGGUCUCUUCCCUCGGCAGUUACCACCAUCGAAUCGAUCUCGUCGUCUCUUCCAAACUCUCGAAAUUAAUAAAAUCUUCCAGAAAUUUCGAGUUAGAAAAUUGAUGCGAGGAGCCCGAAGCUCGUGAAUUAGAGAGAAAGAGAAGCGGGGAAAAGCGCGUGGUUGUGGUGGUGGCGAGAGAUGCGAUCGCAGCUGUUGGCUUCGCCGUGGCGGCGAGUCAGCGAUGAGCGGUUGCUUCGGUGUUUUUCUCCGGCGGAGAAGAACCGAUUUUAAUGGGAUUUAAGCUGCAGAUGAGCUGGAUGCCGAGUCUACUGAGUCAGAAGCGGAGGAACGGUCCUCCUUUAGGGUUGCGGAAUCUCGGCAACACCUGUUACCUCAAUAGUGUCCUUCAGUGCCUCACUUACACUCCUCCCCUCGCUAAUUUCUGCCUUAGUCACAAUCACUCCUCCCACUGUAAGUUUUUAUCUCUCCCUCUCGAAGAUUAAGAGAUAGUUCUAAUGCUUUACAAGCUGUUUUUUUGCUUCGUAUUUCAUUUGUUUAUGUGCUCUGUGUUGGAAAAUCACAUUUGGUAGGCGACUCUUAUGGGGAUGGGGAGCGGAAACGGGAAUGUCCUUUUUGUUUAGUUGAGAGAAGAAUAGCAAGGUCUCUUUGUGUGGAACAAGCAACCGAUGCGCCAGUCAAGAUUUCAAAUUGCCUCAAAAUUUUUGCCGAGCAUUUUAAGUUUGGGCGUCAAGAAGACGCUCAUGAGUUCUUGCGGUAUGUGAUUGACGCAUGCCACAACACGUCUCUCCGCCUGAAGAAGUUGCGAUCAAAGGGUGGUGAGCCCUUUAAUGGCAAUACUGUGGUGAAGGAGAUUUUUGGUGGGGCUUUGCAGAGCCAGGUUAAGUGUUUGUCAUGUGGUGCUGAGUCGAAUAAGGCCGAUGAGAUUAUGGAUAUCAGCCUUGAAAUUUUGCACAGCAACUCGGUGAAGGAAUCUUUGCAAAAGUUCUUUCAGCCUGAGAUUUUAGAUGGCAACAAUAAGUAUAGAUGCGAAAGGUAAGUGGUUUGAUUUGGACUCAUGUAGUCUUCUUUGUCUUCCAGAGUGUCUUUUUUCCCUUUUUUAACUGUUUCAUCUGUGUAGCUGUAAGAAACUGGUGACGGCGAGGAAGCAGAUGUCAGUUCUCCAAGCGCCUAAUAUCCUUGUUAUCCAAUUGAAAGUAAGAAUAUCAUGUUUCUGUUUACAAAGUUGAGUGUAACUUUAAGUAGAAAAAUAUUUUAAACGUUUGUCUUGAUAAAUUUGUUUAACAGAGGUUUGAGGGCAUUUUUGGUGGGAAGAUUGAUAAGGCCAUUACAUUUGGUGAGAUUUUGGUUCUCUCGGGCUUCAUGAGUAAAGCCAGCAAGGUACAAGAUUCUAACACUUUUUAAGUUUGUUGUCAGUUUCUGUUAUUUCGGGUAGAUGCUUCCGAGUUCUUUUUACAUGAACUCAAAAUGAUUCCCGAAGCCUGCAUCUACCUCUGAAAUCAUCAUAGUGCUCUAUCUUGUGAAAUUGUACUUUCCAAUUCUUACUUUUCUAUAUCGAUUUACUCUUGCAGGACCCUCAACCAGAAUACAAGCUUUUUGGGAUAAUUGUGCAUGCAGGAUUUUCUCCUGAAUCUGGGCACUAUUAUGCCUACGUUAAGGUUCUUUUCUGUCCUUUUUUUUUCAGUUUUUAACUCUCAUAUUGCUUACUGACGUUUUUCAAUUGCCAUGUUUAGGAUUCCUUGGGUAAAUGGUAUUGCUGCAAUGAUUCGUUCGUUUCACUCUCCACCUUGCAAGAGGUUUUGUCAGAGAAAGCUUAUAUUCUGUUUUUCAGCCGUUCCAGCCAGAGACCAGCAUCUGCUAAAACUCUGGUAACAUCCAAUGGGACUACGUCUCAUGAAGUCAAUGGCUGCGAGACAUCAAAGCCCCAGAGGUUUAUUGGUCCCCUUAAUAAUGUCAACAUGAAACCACGGGCCGAGCAGUCCUUCCAGAAGGAUAACAACCUGGCUUCUUCAAAGCCCCAUAAAUUUAUUCGUCCCCUCAAAGAUGCUAAUAUGAAAUCACGAGCAGAGCAGCCCCUGCACACGAAUAACCUUGUUUCUUCCAAUGUUGAAAAGGCUCCGUUGAAGCCACAUGCGAAAAUCACUGUCAACCUUGGUGCCAAAAGGGUCUCUUCUCCUACUGUCAGUGGCAGACUUUCUUUCCACCAAGAUGAGAACAUAGCUCCAAAGGCGGACAAAGAGAAUAUCGUAUCCGUUUCGCCAACUAGGGUUUACACUUGCUCGGAGAAAAAGUUUGGUACUGAAAAUGGUGGCAAUGGAGUUAAAGAAAACGGCAGUGCACAAGGUAAUAAUGAAGUUACCUUGCAUCCCCACGAGCGUAACGGCUCCAGCAAUGGGGGUGAUCAUCACCACAAAGAUAACUUACUUCCAUGCGAGAGUAAUGGUUCAAAAAAUGGAACUGAUCACCAGGAAAUUGAGAAGGAAGGUGUUAGUACAACCCAAUCCAAAGCCUUGGGUAAAAUCCCCUGCAUUUUGCUUGCCAAAGACGAAUCAUCUCGGGUUAAACUUGAAGCAAUAAAAGAGAGGUAACUUCGGGUUGUGCCUUUGUUUAAAUACUCCUAUUGAAUUUAAUGACAUAGGAUAACUUACAAUGAUUAUGUUUGCAUAUUUCCUCAGUCUAAAGAAAGACACUUCGUCAUAUUUACGGUCAUGCGGAUGGUAUGAUCAAGUAGAAAUCUCCAUGCGUGCCAAGAAGAGAUUGCGCACAGAGCAAUCAGGAGGAGAUGGCAACAACUUAAAGUAAGUGAAACCCGAGUAUUGUUUUCUGUUCUCUAACUUAUCUCAUAUUUGCUCGUAUAAUAGCUAGAAAUUGCACAUAUUGAAUUUGCAAAAUCGUCUUGUUUGUGCAGGAGGAGGUUGAUAGCAGAUGUAAAAUCAAGUUUAUCCCAGAUCCCAGAUGAAUUGAAAGCAGAACUCGCAAACCGGCUCUUGAGAAUUAGCAAGAAGAAAUAUUCGUGAAAGAGAGUUUUUCUAUUUUCUUAUUAAUUAUAACAUUUUUGAAAGAGUAAAGUAAUUAUCGGAAAAGAAAUAGAAAACCAAAAAAACAGGUCUCAUUCUGUUCUGUAUAAUAUGAGCUUCUCGGAACUUUUUUCUUUUUGGGGUCCCUAUCGACGACGAUGAUUCUUUACACUCCUGGAAAUUAAUGUUAAGAGCGUUCUUGGCUUUACAGAUUUUGUGUGAUCUUUUCUAUUAACAUUUGACAUUCAGGUGACUUUGUUACAACAAAAUAAAUAGUUUUUUUGGUUGGUAAUACACUAGUACAUAAAAAGAUCGAUCAAAGAUGUAACAAGAAUGUUUCAGAUUCAACGAGUAGAUGAAAAAUUAAACAAACAAUUUUAAAAAAAGUUGAAGGAUGAUUAGGCCAAGACAAGAAUGUUUCAGUUUUACAUUAUAAUGAGCAGGGAAAGAUUCAACGAGUAGAUGAAAAAAUAAACAAACAACUCUGAUGCUGAGAGAUUACAAACAGAUUUUCUUUUACAAAAGUUGAUGGAUGCUUAGGCCAAGAAACGUAUGAUUUCUUCGGUCUUCGUCUUAUUGAAAAUAGAGAAAAAAAAAUGCAAAUUUUGGGAUCGCAAAUUUAACGGUCUAAGAAGAAGAGACUCUGUUGAUCUUGGCGUAGUGGCCAAGAGACCAGGAGGAUGAGCCUGGACAAGAAGAAGAGAGUCUCUCUGCAGUGGCUCUGACUAACUCCUCAAAGUCAAAGUCUUCUUCGGAGAUUGUGGUCAACAUGUUCUUGAAUGGUUCUCUCGUUGCCGAUAUCAACUUAGCCGGAGCCACCUCGGUGAUGAACCUAGAGGUCUUAACUGUUUCCAUCGGUGAUUGAGAUUGAGAUCUUUUGGAUCGAUAAGAGAGUGUUGGGAGAAGAAAUAUUCUUCGUUGGGCAUGGGAAGGGAAAAAAGGAUAGAGAAAUUAGAGACUGCAGAAGAAGAUAUUUGUGAAAGAUUUUGGUGAGAGUUGAAGUGAAUUUAUAGAGUAGUGCAUACAUGUGAAAUACUUGCAUCUACAAAAGGACAAAUACUAUCUGUGGAAGAGUACUUACACUCCCUCUCGUUUUUUUUUUUUAACAUCAAUUACACUCCCUCUCGUUAUUAGACAAAAUCUUUACCCAAUUUUUCGAUAUGAUUACAUAUGAUCUUUCAUCAACCACCAAUUUUCACAAAAUGAUAGUAUUAUUUUCUUAUCGCCAAACCUAAUUAUCUGGUAUUGUUACAAGGGAAGAGAUGUGUACUAAUUCACUCAUUGUCAAAUAAUUUUGAAUUUAAAUUCAUAAAACGUAACAUCUAAUCUUCAAAUGUCAAGCGAGUAUCAGUGUACCCAUGUUGUACUUUGAACUUAAAAGAUGAAGAAAUCGUUGGAUUACAUCUAAAUGGUUUCACGAGAAAGGUUUCACAAUCUAAAUCGAAAAGUUCAAACGCUACCCAAAAAACAAACGCAAAUCAAGAUUAUGUUUACAAACACACUGGUACGGAUGCAAAAUCAUCAAGUGAUAGGUACGAAGUUGCUUUCAAAUUGACGACGGUGUAGGGACUCUUCAUUUAUAAUCAAAAGCCAAAAUAAAUUGGCGACAACCAACGCCGUUUUAGCUUCGAGUUUCUAUUCUCAAAUUAAUUAUACAUCUAUGAAUUUUCAUCUUUCACUUGUUGUUCUCUAUAUCCUAGAGAUCGUUUAAAGCUCAUAUAUAUAUAUAUUUCAUCUAAUAUUUCCCAAGACUCCAGAUUACAGUGUUUCUUUUCAGAUCAAGAUAGAGUGUGGUUUAAUGAUCAAAAAGAAUUGUUGAAUAGAAGAUUCCCAUCAUUGUAAUAUAUGGCUGUAUGAUACGAUACGAUACAUACCCAUUAAAAUUACUAUAUUUAUAAAACCCUAAAAACAAAAAUUGAUAGCAACUUAACAGUAAGUGGUAAGUAUCAUAAUUGGCCAGCCAAACUUUUUAGCAUUAAUUUCCAGAAGAUGACAUAUAAAUUUACAUUGAUAGUACACAUACAUUAGUACAUUCCCGGCUCUUAACUUAACUCAAAAGCCAGAAUAUGGAAGGCUAGGCGUUUAGUUUUUGUUUCUAUUAAAGUUCAUGGACAUCUUACUCGAGACAAAACUGAAAUAAAUCGAUCGAUAUAUGCCAUUUGUGUAUAUAUAAGACGUAGAGUUAUUAACAUAUUCAGUUCGAAAGUGUUUUUUUUAUUAUUAUUAUUCAAAUUGAACAUGAAAUUUGAUAUGUUUGGAUUGUUGACAACCAAAAAAAAAGUAACUCUGAUAUGUUUGGAUCAUAUCGGUUUAAAGGUCUAGUACUACAGCAGAAAAUAUAUGAAGCACUAUAUUCAAAUCCAUCUAGACAAGUAAACUCAAAUUUUAUGGCUAUUUUGAUGAAUCAAAUAUCAAAUAUAUAUAUAUAUAUAUAUAUAUAUAUAUAGAAUAAGAUCGAAUUAAGACUAUGAAAAACUCCAAAAUUGAUGUUACUAAACACGAAGUUAUAAGUUUGUAAAUUAAAUGGCAAAAACCUACUACGUUUUUAAUGGCCUGAUGGGACAAUUCACAUAACAUAGUUGUUAGACGUCGUACCAUAUUUGAAAACUGAUAUGGUAUUAUAGAAACCACAGAAACAAAAUAAUUUGAAGGACCACCUUUAUUAUAUGGCGGAGAAAGGUAGCUGCUUUAAUACGGUGUCGCAUGGGACCAUUUUGCUUCUUUAAGCUUCCUGCCACCGCCUCGAUUGCACAGAAAAAGGUUUACUUUGGAAUCUUCCUAUAUAUCAACUGAACCCUCUAAUCGAGUUAGAGUGUUUGCUGACGUGAGCUCCACUCUUGCCGACGUUAACUCUAGAACUUGCAAAUCUUGUUGAAGUAUAUGUCUACUACAUACAUACAUGAUACAUGUAAAGAUUCUAAAAUUAUAAUACUUUUCCCAUUUCCCACUGUGAAGACCUGUCUCUAAUAUUCCACUUAUCCACAAAAAGAAAAAAAAAAUGAAAAAUUCCUCUAUUAGCUUCUGCGACCAUCUACAUAUAUUUCAUUGUAUUACUUAAUUACAUAUUUCUGUGUGAUAAAGUAGUGGAACGAAUAUAAAAUUCGAAUUAAAUCGGAAUUUGGAAUUUUGAAAAAUUUGGUCAGCCCCUCUUCUAGAUUAUAUUCUGAAAUCUCAACUCUUCGAUUCUAUUCUUGAAUUAGGGUUUUGGUCAAAUUCCCAACCAUGCAUAUGGGAAAUGGAAUCGAGGAUAAAAUAAUAUAUACAAUUUAUUGCAUAUGUGUGCCUAUAAAUAUCAAUACAUCUGAACUAGGCUUUACCACAACACAAGAGUCAAAGAAAGAGGUAACACAUUUAAAAUACGUAGCUCUAGAUCGAGAGACGACGAUGGGGGUCUCUUGUUGUAUCAGAUGGUCUUGCAUGAAGGAAUAGAGAAUGGGGUUGAGCCAAGGAUGACUUGCCGGGUUAAACACAACCGGUUUAUGACCAUUAGUUUGGUCCCGAACACGAGUUGAUUUGUGUCUGGCAAGUUGACCUUGGCUCUGUUUCGUUCUCUUUUCCUCCAUGUUAGAUUACAGAUAUAUAUAUAUAUUUGGUCAUGGAUGGGAUUAACCGAUAUCUUAUGAAACUCUCACGUUACGUAUAUAAAUAUUCAUCUCGUUAGUUUCCCACGCUUCAAAUGUUCGUUUAAUUAUCGCUUCAAAUGUUCGUUUAAGAGGUUUCAAACAAAAUGUUCGUUUAAUUACAGUUAACUACUUGCAUAUUUAGGAAACUUAAAUACCUCUAUUGGUUAGGUAAAACAAACACAAGAACUUUAUUUUGAUUUAUUUUUAAAACAUUUCGCUAGAAUUUAGAAUCUAACAUCACAUCAAAGAAAAUAUAUAGUGUCCCUUUUUUAUUUUUCUUUCUUUCUUUCUUAUUCCACUUCAAUUAAUCAUCAUUAAAAUAAAGUAAUCGUAUAAGUAGUAUAUAUUUCUACCCUGAAAUUAGUUCGUCACUUGUUAGGAUUUUAACUAAAAAAAACAUGUGGUCUUAAGAUUGAGGUUUAAGAUUAACUACUUUGUUCUUACCCUCAAACCACCUAAACAUAAACCACGAAGUGGAAUUAUAGAUUUGAUACUCGUAUGAUGCUUGAAGAUGCGACGCGUGGAAUGAUCGAUGCAGCGGUCUAUACAUUUUGAUGCGAUAACUAGCUAGUGCUACGAAUACAAUACUAUUCACAUUUCAACUAUUUCAAAUUCUAUUCGAUCUGUCUUGAGGUUGGUCAAAAUUGCUUUGGUCGCCCCAACCAAUGGAUCGAAUCUAAUUAGUAAUACUGUAAACUCAAUUUAAGCAUAUAUCUAUUCGUUAACUAGUACGUAUGAUCUAUUCGCGAACCAAUAUAGAUGGAAAUCUCUAGCUGCGUCACAGGGUCUUGCCAAGACGUAAUGAUUUCUAAUAUUAAAUAUUCAUACAAAAAGUGUUUUAAAAGAGGCGUAGCAAAAACAAACAUAUCCCGUACGUAAGCCGAAAGUUAGAAAUGAAUUAUUGAAUGGAGACAUAAUUAAAUAUCAUUGAUUACUAAAGUCUAAUCAAAUAUCAAACUUUCUUCAUUUCUGGUACGUAUUACCAAAUUUGGAUAAAAUAGUUAUUAAGAUUGAUAUAUAAGAGCAAACAAAACAAGACAGUUACCUAAAACGUAACUUCCUGACGUCAUAAUCACAUGACUAUAUUGAAUGCUUGAGCAACUAUUUUGUCUACUAUGACUUGAUUACUUGAAACACUUACAUUAUAAUAAGAGGCAAAGAUCUAUCCUUCCUUAAAACAGAAACAAACAAUGAACAAGACCGAUCAAAACGGCAUUGACGGCUCAGCCUUAGAGCUUAACCGAACGGAGAGAGCGGUAGAGACGGUCCUCCGAGUAGCAUCAAUGGCUCUAAGUAUUGCGGGGCUCGUGAUUAUGAUCAAAAACUCUAUAUCCAACGACUUUGGCUCUCUUUCUUACUCAAAUCUUGGAGCUUUCAAGUGCACCUUCUUUGCUCUCUUUUUCUUCUUGCUUCACUUUGAGAGGAAUCAAUCAAUGAACAUUGUUUGUUUUUAUUGUUCCCUUCUUGUAGGUAUUUGGUGAAUGCUAAUGGAGUCUGUGCUGCCUAUUCUCUUUUUUCUGCUAUCUGUGUAACAGCCAUUCCGUGUCCAAUAAGCAAGCUCCGAGUAUGGGCAUUGUUCUUGCUUGACCAAGUGGUCACAUAUGCGGUUUUAGCGGCUUUUACCGUAUCUGCAGAGACAGUUUACUUAGCAUAUAAAGGAAACUUAGCCAUCACUUGGAGCUCUGCUUGUGAUUACUAUGGAGUCUUCUGUCACAAGGCACUGGUUUCAGUUCUAUUUACAUUCCUUGUGUCUGUUCUCUACAUGUCGCUUUCACUCAUCUCUUCUUAUAGACUCUUCAGCAGAUUUGAAGCACCUAAGCAGUGAAUACAAAGAACACAUAAAUAGGAAGUCAAAGGUACAAGAAACUGAAAGAGAAACAUGUUCUGUUUGGUUAAAGUGAAAGAGAAGGUUGAAUAAAAGUGUAACUGAAAUGUAACUUUUUUAUUCCCCUAAUGUUAACUAGAUAUUCUAUAAUUUUUCAUACAAUCACACAUCAUGGUGAUCAGAACCAAAUCAUAUAAAUUAUUACGCAAUGCAGAUCGUCCUCGGCGCGAACUUCUUAUUAGAGAAAAAUGCAGAAAAAUGGAGGACCAUAUGGUUAGGUGGUUUAUUUUAUAAUACGUACAAAUGUUAGAAUUCCUACAAGGUGAAUGUUAGAAUCCGUACAAGGUGAUAGAAAAAUUAGCACCCUUAACCAAAAAAAGAGCUAAUUUGUAAUGUAGAUAAACUCAAAUUUAUGUUGCCAUCAUAUAGAAGUGUUAGGAAUCAAAUGUGAAUAAAAGACAACAAACUGCAAUCAUAUACAAACAGACCAAAACUCUAGUGAUCCCUUAAACCAUCACAUAAGGCCCAUUUACAGGUAUGGGCCGACAUUGAAUUAGGCAGCCAUAAACGUUGACCAUUUGACUUCUAGAGUGCAAUUGUAUAGAUUAUUGUAGUACUACUCCUAACCUCAAUAAAUUAUAUUCUAUUAUUUGUAGACGUAUUAGGUGUGCAUGUUCCUUUGUGUGUUGGUUAUGCCAAAAUUAAUUCGUAAGUAACAUUAUUUCUAUUUGUUUUAGUCUCCAGUUAGGUUUACUUAUUUAUUUAAAAUGUUUUUAACUUAAAAAGGGGCAUAAUUCAAUGUAUUUGAAAACCCAUAUGGUAUGUUGUUUUAUUCAAUAAAUUGGUCGUGGGCUCCAAGGUGAUGAUUAGGAGCUUCUGUUAUGUCUGAUCUCAGUGAACGUUAGUAUAUGUGAUAUGACCAAUUUAAACUUGUUAAAUUAAAGUGCCUUGUACUGUCCAGGGACUUUCAUUAGACACAAUAGUACUUACAAUAAAUUAACAAAAUUAAUCAUCGAAUCAAACAAAAUUCAAGCUAGGAUGCAUUGCGCCUCCAAAGGGACUAACAAUAUGGUUUACACUCCAAUGUGAAUUUAUUUGGGCGUCAACAUGAUUCCGAUGCCUUUGUAGUAUAGUCCUGGAAAAAAAAAGAGUUAAUGGCAUUUAGUGGUAUUACUCAAAAAAAAAAUCGUUGAGAUAUUUUGUAAAUUAGGUAGUCCUUUAAAUUCUUCACAGAGUAAUAAUAUCACAGCAUAAGUUUGAAUGUGAGUUUUUAGAAUGGUUUGGAAUGUGAGUUUUUAGAAUGGUUUGGAAUGUGAGUUUUUAGAAUGGUUAUAUAUGUGUGUGUGUGUCUGUGUACACUAAAUUAUAGACAUCUUAUAAUGAUGAGAUAUUUUUUUCUUUCUGUUAGAAGUAGUUGUGGCAAAAAAAUGCAACUAUUCAUCACAUGAAAGGUUAAGCAUUAUUUCAUUUUGAAAUAAUGGUUUCUCUUAAUAAUUAAUACAGGUUGGAUUCUUUGCCCCCCAUCAAUUAUUUUCUCUAAUUUUUUUUCCUUCCUUUUGCAGUGUCUUAUUCGUAGCAUUUGAAAUCGAAACAAAUAAAAAUAAAAAAAUUAUAAUAUGAGUUACUCAUUCGAGAAUCGAUAUAAUAAAUACUAGUAAAGUAAUUGAUAUGAUAUAUGCAUGCGUUACAUAGACACCAUCACCCCAAUUGUGGAUCGCAAAGGUAAAACUACUUCAUUGUAAUUCUGUGAGAAUAUAAGAAGGUAUAAUUAUGUUCGUCGACAAGAGUACAGAUGGAUCUUUUUAUGCCAAAUUAAACCACGUGGUUAAGCAAUAAAGUGCCAUUACUCCUAAUGCAAAUCGCUUAAUGAUAUAUUGACAAUUUGACAUUAUAGUGUUCAUUUACCGGUUAACACAUAUACUUGGGGUAAGAUCCUCGUGUUUUCCUUUUCCUGACAUCUUGGGAUUACAGUUUUUGUUUCACGAUUUUCUUUUGCAUCAUGCAAUUGUGUUCCGGUAUGAUCUGGCAUAUAUUUCACUUAUUUACAGUUCAUUAAUGAUAUUAUAAAAGACUAUAUACAAAAUUUCUCUUAUAUAAGCAAAUUUUUUGAAGUUCACCUAAACCAAGGAAAUGUAUGGAAUAUUGGAAUCCUUCAAGACAUAUCAAAAAAAAAAAAUUUAUAUGUUCUUUAGUGUCGUUUUUAGGUGUGCAUCGAGAACCGCUUAUCAUUUUGCGGAUUAUUUAGCAAAUGCCGCCCUAUGUUCUUUCCUCCCAAAUGAACUAUCUGCGUUUUAAUGAAAUUUGUUGUUCAAAAGAGAAAACCAAUCAUUUUUUCUGUGUAGACUCUUCGCUAUACGACCGUUUAAGCCAUUGACUAACCGUCAAACUCUCCUCUUAUCUUUCUUAAGAAAACAUAUACCGUAUUUUAUAGAUUUAAAAUUAUAGCUUUCUGAACCUGACGGACGAGCAAUCCACGAGCUUAUAAGUUGAUAGCUUCAAUAAUUGAUUCUUUUUUAAAACAAAGAUGGUAGUUUAUAUAAUAAAAAAUAAUAAUAAUAAUUUAGGUAGGAAGUAAAUGGGAAGUAAUUAUUGGAAGAAUUAUUAUCCUAAUUAUAUAUUAGAUUUUAAAAAGAGAGGCCCACAGAGAACAGAUUAGAAAAUCGAUAGAAGCGACAAAGGGGGGGUCCCAUGUUGGCCACGUGGCAGACAAAGUAAGACUUUUGAGCCGACGUGGGUCCCGCAACGGUAAGAAGCCAUAGUAAUGGCCCAUCACAUGGAUCCAGUUCCCAUAUUCUCUUCAACAUGCGAAUCCCUCUUCAAAAUUCUGACCCACCCAAAAAUCAACGAUGAAGUUUUAUGUUUUAAUAUUAAAUAAUUAUUCUUAAAAUGCAUCGUUUUGAGAAAAUAUUAAUUAGUUUUCAUCAUCAUUUUUUGUUUAACAAAAGGUACUAAAAUACUUUAUUCACAAUUAUUUAGUACUCUAUAUCCUUAAGUUGCCACAUUACACUGCUUAUAAGAUAUGAAUUUUCCUUUCAGACUUUCUCCAAAAAAAAAAAAGAUCUUGUGUGUGUAAAGACUUGUAAAUGCCCAUGCAUGCAUAGGGGUGGUACUUGGUAGAGUUAGCAUAGAAACUUGAUAGAUGACAAUAUGACAUAAUUUGUAUUUGUUGGAUUAUGGCGAAAAGUAAACUUAUAUCUCAAAAUUAUUGUGUUUCAACUAAUAGUCUUGCUACGCAAAAGCUGUACUAUUUUAGCAUUAAACGUAUAUAAUUGACUCCUUAAACGAUAGAUAAGAUUACCGUAGUCUCAGCUGAGUACACGUAAGCAUGAUGAAGCUAAAUUCGAGGAACGUUACAGCCGACAAACUGUUACCGCCUCAUGAAUGCACACAGUCGCGCAUUUACUCUCACUGACCUUAAGUUUCUUCACAUUGAUUCACGCACCGAUUAAAAAUUACGGUAAAGCCAAUUAUAUUUUUUUUUUGUAGAAGUAAAAUACUAAUUUCCCUCAACUCUAAAUUUGUUUUUUCCCUCCAACUCAGUAAUUUCUCUUGAGCUAUUGUUAAAAUCGUAACUGCUUAAUUUCUGAAAAUAUUAUCAUCCAUGUGUUAAAGACAUGUGAUAAAACAAGCAUGUGACUGCACACCCAAAAUUAAACAUAAUUCCAAUCCAUGAUUAAAAUUUAAGAUUAAACAAAAAUGAACCGUUAAGGUCAGACGAAUCACAUUACCUUGUCCUUUCCUCAACUUCCUCAUGUCAAGCCUAAAUCGCCCGAACAUAACCUUUUUCUUUAAUCAAUAAUAUAGUAAUUAACUAAUGAAUCACCUUCUUCCUCUCCAUUCUCAACUAUCUUCUUUAUAAAUAUCUCAGAAUUCCCCGCCCUUUAAACACACAAACACACACACACAAAAAGAAGUGAAUAUAACAAGAAGAAGAAAAAAAAUGGAAGAGGAAGAUAUAUAUUUCCCCGACACCGAUCUUGAUCUCAGCUUCACAUCCACCGUCACCGACCGUACAUUUGCCUCCUCAAGCGGACGCUCCAGCCUCACGCUAAGCUUCAACGACAGACUCUCAACUUCAUCCGUCGUAACAAACUCCUCCACCUCCUCCUCCACCGUCAACCACCGUCGUCACGAUCCUCACUGGUCGGCAAUCAAAUCGGCAAAACAUCUCUCCUCCACCGGAAACAUCCACCUCCGUCACCUGAAACUAAUACGCCACCUCGGCACCGGAAACCUAGGCCGAGUCUUCCUCUGCAACCUCCGCGACUCCUCCGCAAGAUUCGCUUUAAAAGUCAUCGAUCGAAACAACCUCACGACGGCGAAAAAGCUAUCUCAAGUCGAGACGGAAGCAGAGAUCCUCUCCUUGCUAGACCACCCUUUCCUCCCUACGCUCUACGCUCGUAUCGACGAGUCUCACUACACGUGUCUCCUCAUCGAUUAUGCUCCCAACGGAGACUUACAUUCCUUGCUCCGCAAGCAACCUGGUAACCGUUUACCGAUUCAGCCGGUUAGGUUCUUCGCCGCGGAAGUCCUCGUCGCCUUAGAGUACCUUCACGCAAUGGGAAUCGUAUAUCGAGAUCUCAAACCGGAAAACGUUUUGCUCCGGGAAGACGGACACGUCAUGUUGUCGGAUUUCGAUCUCUGUUUUAAAUCCGACGUUGUCCCUACUUUUAAAUCUCGCCGGUAUCGGAGAACUUCUUCUUCACCGUCGCUCCGUCGGCGGAGGAGCGGUUGCUUCUCCGGGGUCGCGGCAGAGGAUAAGUACGAGAGGGAGGAGAUCGUGGCAGAGUUUGCGGCGGAGCCAGUGACGGCGUUUUCACGGUCUUGCGUCGGAACUCACGAAUAUCUUGCGCCGGAGCUAGUCUCCGGCAAUGGACACGGAAGCGGAGUAGAUUGGUGGGCCUUCGGAAUAUUCCUUUACGAGUUGUUGCACGGAACGACGCCGUUUAAAGGAUGUAGUAAAGAGGAGACCCUGCGCAACAUAGCAUCGACCAAUAAGAACAUGAGUUUCCACGGUGAUUCAGAGGAAGCGAAGGACUUGAUCGAGAAGCUUUUGGUGAAGGAUCCGAGGAAAAGGCUAGGAUGCGCCAGGGGUGCGCAAGAUAUCAAACGUCAUCCGUUUUUCGACGGGAUUAAGUGGCCGUUGAUUAGGCAUUAUAAGCCACCGGAAGAAGUUAGAGGUCUUGUGAUUAAGAAGUCGCCGAGAUCACAUGCUGGUCACGUGACGGCAGUUUCACCGCGACGGAGGAAGUCGUUUUUGUGGAGGGCAUUGUCUUAUUUACUGCGCGGUAAAAGCUCUAGUGGUGGAAGUAAAAAUCAUAGCAACAGUAAUUAUUAUCAUUAUGUAAGCAAAAGCUACGCGAGUCGCAAACGCGUUUAAGGCUGUCUUGCGUUUUUUUUUUCCUUUUUCAAUUUUCUUAGAGGUGAAGCAACACAAACAUAGAGAUAGAGAGUGUAUAUGCGUAUUACUAUUAGUGAAUGUAUACAAUAGGAUGUUCAACGAUUUUGUGUCUGAAUAUUAUACCACAAUACAUAGUCUUCUAGACUUCUAUCAUAUCUUCGUCUAUAUUCUACUGACUGCGUAAGUAUCAUUUCACUAACUCCAAUCAAACGAUUAUUGGCUCUUAAGCAAGGUUUUCUAAAAGAAGACAUGUAACUUCGUUUUUUCAGUUUACUGAACUAAACAUUUGGUGACAAAGACGUUAAAUAUAACAAUGAUUUGAACAUACUAGUUACUAAUUAGAGACAUAUAUAUGGGUAUUGGUCAAAAAAAAAGAGACAUAUAUAUGGGUCUAACCGUCUAAGAACCAUACUUUUUUUUUUUUUACAAAAAUGAAGUGGAGUUUAAGAAAUUGGGCCUUACUGUUAGGCCGAUUAUAUCUAAAUGCAAUUGAGUAAGAGGGAUACUAGUAGUAGUAGUCCACAUUGUAUCCUUCGAUUUAUUGGAAUGUGGGCGCAUUAUUUUGGGUGUAAGAAACAACAUAAUCAAAAUUAUGAUUCUGGUUGGGCUUAGAAUCAUUAGACUCACAAUAACAUAACAUAUAUAUGUUAAUACAUACAACAUGAUUGAGAAGACUUUAGUUUGAUCCAAAUCUGUUAUGAUCCGGAAAUUAAUUCACGAAGUGACGCAGAAUUGAUUAGAAAAAUGAGGAAGAAAUCAAGAGGGAUGAUUGUGUUCUACCAGCUGUAAAACCGCAACGAAUGAUAGAGAAACGGGAACAGUCACAAUCUCGCUUACAGAAUUUGUUUUGCGUAAUUUGACACUGGUUUAAAAUAAUGCUAUUAAACCCUGAUAUGGUUGGUCCGACCACAAUCUACAAAAUAUAUUUCAUUCUAGUUUUUGUGACCGGUUUAUGAUAUAUUUUAAAAAAAAAACCAUUUAAAACUUUAAAAGUAGUUUACCAAGCUAGCAAGCCAAAGAAAAGUCCAUUAUCAACAAGUCAACAACCUAUUUUGGUAGAUUUUUUUUAAAAAACCUAAAAUUCAACCAUGCAUACGUUUUUUUAACAACAAAACACGACGUUUCAUUAAGCUGGUGGAGAAAAUCCAUACACAUAAGAAAGCCAAUUCAAUACCGAGGAACUUACACAUAGGAAAAUAUAACACCUUGUGCUCUUGUAACGGCAAAAUUAAAUUGAAGCAGUCAGUAACAAGGCGAAUAUCAGUCAAUGAGAUCGAGUUCGAAGUAUUUUUAUCAUGAUAUAAAUUAAAUGGUCUAGCUAUAUAUUUUUCGAUCCGGUUUGAUUCGGUGAUUUGAUGCUCUUAGAUAUUAUUAUUCAGUUUUGAUCACAUUGGUUGGAGUUGAGAUUUGAAAAAAUAAAAAAGGGAGAGAAGCGAAGCAGCUCAAGUGGAGAAGGCGAAGAUAAGAUUGCCGGUUGCAUGUUCCCCUAAACCUAAACCCAAUCUCAAUGUUUUGUCUUCUUUCAACAUCUCUCCUCUUUUCAUGCCCACCUUUCUCCCUUUUCUACUCUUUCUGUAGAUUGUGUUGAAGCCUAUUAAACAAUGUUGUUAAGUUAAAUCGAUCAUUUCCUCUAAGGGUUAAUAACAAAUAAUAUUAAUCAACAGCUGUGUUUACCGCGUUUCUUACAUAUAAAUAAAGGCGCACCAAAUAGUGUAGGCCUAUUAAACAAUAUACUAGAUUAUUUAAUUCUCUGAUGAAGUUCAUUUUAGAAGAGCAGAAUUUUGAAUUGUAUACUUGUGCAUCUUGUUCCUUUCCAUACACAAUACCGUAUUCGAAUUUCGGGUCUGAUAAAACUGAAUACAAAAAAAUACGAUUAACAUACCACAGGAAAUAUUUUGAAAGGAUUCGUAAUUUUUUUUGGGAUGAUCUUCCAAUUUUUUAAUGGAAUUUUUAUUUGUUGAAGUUUGUUAUGCUAUCUUUAAUGUAUAAAAAAAAACAUAAAAUGUGGUAUCUUAAAGAUUUGUUAUCUUGCAACCCAUAAUAUAAUAUUAGACAAUGACAGAAUAUAGUAUUUUAUGUCCAAAAUUAUGAUUUCGUGAAAGUAUAGUUCCUUGGAGAUUUCAAAGCGAGCCAUGCAAAUCCCAAUGAACCAAAAAAAAUCAAGACCAUGUUCAUCUGCUCUGAAUUCACUUCCUUUUUAUUUACUACACCUCUUUCUUCUUUUUUCUUCUCUAUAAAUACUCUUCAAAUUCUUCUCUCCUUCAUUGCAACUCUUUCAUUUGCACUCUCUUCCAUCACCCACAAAAGGGUUUUUUUUUUGGCCUUGGGCACCCAAAGUCUCAACCUUAAACCAAAAACAAAGUCUGUGAUCACUAAUAUAAACCUAAUUAUCAAUCCCAUGGCAGAAUUCAAGAGAAAGUUCAACAAAGGUCAUGCCUUUACAAGCAAAUGUGUUUCCUUGGUGAAGGAACAACGAGCUCGUCUCUAUAUUCUCCGCCGUUGCGCAACCAUGCUUUGCUGCUGGUACAUCCAUGGCGAUGAAUAGAGAGAGCCCAUUGAGUUCUUCUUUCAAAUUAACCUCUACAUAUCACUAUAUAUAUUUAUAUAUAUCCUUCCUCUCCAUCUCUUCUUCUUGAGGCUCCAUUGGAUGUUGAAGCUCUCUCUGUUGGUGUUGGUGCUGGACUCUCUUUAGUGGCUGCAUGCAUGGCUUGAUCCCCCUUCAAGAACUUUUGAUUCUCUCUCUUGUGUUGGUGCAAAACCCUGCGAUGUCUUUUUUAAACCUAAAAGUCAACUCUUUUGGUUUUUUUUUUUUUUUUUUGUUUCCAUGGGGUAUUUUGCAUCAACCAAAGGAGAGAGAGACAUUAACCUCCGAUUGAGCUGGCGAAGUUUUUACUGUUUUUGGAAUAUAGCGAGAGACCCCAUGGAUGAUGUUAUGUGAAAAAGGAGUUUCAUACUGUGAAUUCUUCUGGAAUAGUUUCAUUUUGACCAAUGAGUUUUGGGUUUAGUUUCAUUUUGACCAGUGAAGUCUUUUCUAGUUUCAUCUAUAUAUGACCUUAUGACCUUAGAUCUUCUUGUUUGAUUUUUGCCUUUGGUUGUAACUUGUAAUUGUAACCCGAUGCGGGAUAAAGAAUAAUAACACGAUGAAUAAACUUUCAAUUUUUGCAAUGUAGAUAUAUUGGCUCAAGCUCAAAAUUGAAAAACUAAACAAACAAAAAAACAUCUUAAUUUAUUUUACAAACCAACAUUUUAACGGUUUACUCUAAGAACAAGGUUCAAGAUCAAACAAAAACAGAGCACUGUUCAAAGAGGGGACAUCUGAAGGUCAUAAUCCGGUCCAAGCCUGACCGAGUUAACGUAGUCACUCGUGCAAUGAUCCGACAGACCUGGAACAAACAGUCCCAUGAUCCUAAACAAAAUCCUAAACCAUCCUUCUUUAUAAUCCGGUCCAUAGAUAAACCCCAUUGUCAAGCCUCUAACCAACUCCCAAACUGCGUUUACAUGACCAAGAAUCUCGUAACGCAUACCGUAAGGGUUCGGAUCCGGCUCAUCCUCUGCUUUCUGUCAAACAUCCAAGAAAAACCAUCAAUUUCACAUUCCAAAUCUGAAAUCCGUAAGUUUUAUAUAAGUGAUGAUAACAUUACUGUCUCGUUGUAGAAGCUAUCGUAGUAAAGACAGAGUCCGAAAUGUUUAUAGAGGAACGUAUUGUUGUCGUAAGGCAGUCUCGGUACAAGAUCGUUGCAGUAUACAACUCGAAAGUAUCGGUCAACGGGGUGAUUCAGUUGAUCUUUCAUGAAUAACCCGACUUCUCUGUUCCCGAUCCUCGGUUGUCCAAACGUGUAAACACCAAGCAGCCUCUUCAUCAUCUCUGUCUCCUCUUUCAACACAAGCAAUGUGGGAAACAGCACAGCUAAAGCACCACCUAAGCUGUGACCUGUGACUACAAAUUGGGCGUUUUCGUGUUCUGAAAGCAAACGUUUCAGAGUUUUUCGAACUGCGUAAUAGGCGCUUCUCUCUACCAUCUCUAGGAGAUAGUCUUUAUGAUUCUCUUCCUCGGAGGAGUGUUGAUCGGAGAGAUGGUAAUGGAAAGUGGGAGUGUCGUCUCUGGUACCUAAACCCAUGGCUUCGAUGAAACCCAUGUGAAGCUUUCCCACAUUUGGGAUUUCAUACCAAGAAUAGUCGAAAUCGGUUCCCCAAUCGUCUGCAUCAAAGGGCUCAGUGCCUCUGAAGCUUAUUAGUAUCAAGUUUGCAUCUUUCUGCUUAUCCGUAAGUAUAAAAACUUGUGUAGACAUCUGCUUCUGAUAAUCUGUGAACAUAGACACAAAAAAAGAAAACACAUCCACACAAAGUGUUCAAAUAUAAAGUGAAAACUGUUAAGAAGCUAAAUCUUGCUAUCUAAUUCUCACCAUUCCAACAAUCCAAGAACUCCACCACAUUCAUCUGCAGACAUUAAGACAUGGAAACUUUUAUUAAAGUUGGAAACUUUUUCCCACAUGAAAAUGUAUCUGAAGUUUAUAUUCUUAAAUAGCUUGCCUUCCAAUGGAGAUUAACGACAUUUUCAACAACCUUGGCGUUCUCAUACGCAAGCUUCGACGCCAUCACACACAAAUCCAUAAGCCCACGAUUUCCCGGUUCGAUUCUAACCCUUGCAGAAGAACCCGAAUCAAUGCUCACCAACUGUUCGACGAAACUCCAACUCUUGUACAGAUCAAUUCGCCCAUCAAGGUGCCCAAUCGUACUAAUAAACGUCACAGAGCCUCUUUCUGGUAUCACAACUUUCGCUGCAACACAAAAUCAAUUCGCAUUAAAAUCAUCCAAACUCAUAAAAAUGCGAUUUUUUUUUCUUCUUCGUUUCUGUCAAAGUUUGUAACUUUACUUACCUUGAAUAAACCCGAAAAGCAAACCGAAGAAGCCGCCAUUGGCAGACAAUAGAUUGAGGAGAAAGUCAACGAAGAAACCUGUGUAUUCCAUUGGCGUUCGGAGAAGUCCGAUGAUCUUACGGACCAGAAUCGAAACCACGAUUACCCAACGGUGAUCUUCCGCUUCCUCAUCGAUCACUGUCGUGUUCCUACUGGAGUAUUCAUCAGGCCAUUCCAGGAACUUUUCCUUACUCGUUUCGUCGCCUCUCAAACCGUACCAAAACAGGUCUCUGUACCCACCUCGGUGAGGUCGAACGAUCAAGUAGUUCGACCCGUGACCCGGAUUCGAAGCCGAACCCGAUUCGUUGUGUUGGUGCAUGUCUCUGGUUCCCUCUCUUCUUUUGUAUCCUAUCAAAUAGAAGGUAGCUUAAUAAUGUAAUAUGGAUGAAUGUAUAUGCAUGCAUAUACCUCUCUGUUUGUAUUUAGGCUUUAAUUUGUUGCUUGUCUUUUUGGUUAAAGCAUAUUUUUAGUUAAGCCUCGUCACUAUCGUAUCAAGUACUGCAGAUUCUGAUUUUUUUUAGUUAGCUUGUAGCUUGUUUACUUUUCUUUUCUUUUUGUUUUUUAGAUUAUUUUUGUCAAUGGGGAAACCAAAAUAAUUGUAUCAGUAACGAACAAGAAAAACUAGUUUUGGAAAGUUCGACUAAUUCGUAACCAAAACGAAAGUUGGACUAGUUAAUGCGCUUUGGAGUCAUCUGACCAAAAAGGAAAAAAAAACGACUUUUUUCACCUGCCAUUCUUUUCAACUUUCAACUGAGUUGAGUGUAUAUUAAGGAACGUUUUCUUUUCAUAUGUUCUAUGCGUAAUAGAUGAAUCUCAGUUGUUACUUGUUGUAUUCAAUUGAGUCUAUAUUAAGGAACGUUUUCUUUUCAUAUGUUCUAUGCCUAAUAAAUCUCAGAUGUUACCAGAGCCGUAUUUGAGAUUUCUCUAACUACAAGCGAAAAGAAAAAAUUAACCUUUUAAAACUUUUUUUAAUACAGUUUAGCCCACAAAUAAUUAGCAAAAAGAAGAAAAAAAUAACAAAUAUGCAUUUGGAAAGAAUUGAACCCAGCUAAACUUCUAACCAAACAUGCUUUUACUUAUUCACAAACCACUUAGACUAAUUCAAACUCUGAAAAAUUAGCCCUAAAAAAAUAUUUAACUCCUGUAACUCUGAAAUACAUGUUUUAUUAGGUUGUGCUUAGCACGGCUCUUGGAUGUUACUAUGAUACUUGUUACUUGUUACGGCUUAUACUUCCAGCAUUUCUUAUAAUAAAUAAAAAAACAAACAAACAGUACUUUCUUCACUUUUACAGUUUACUAUAAAGAACACUUAAAUUGGAUAACCGAAAUAUUAUUAGCACCAAAAAGAAUAAUCGUUCUGUCAGGAGUCAGGACUAAUGCAAGAUAAACGUAGGCACCUCACACGUGUGACGUGUCGAUGUUCAGAAAGUGGGCCUCUGUCCUCAACGGCCCAAAAAUCCAAACAUCUUACGUAGUCCAUGUGUCAUGUUGUUCUCGCUCUUUCUUACCCAUCUUUUGACAAAUGUUUCAUUGCUAUCUCACACUUUGCCCCAAAAUAAUCUUUUUUUUUGGACAUCGCGUAAGAUAGUCUUUCUAAGCUAAGAUUUUACAUAAAUGUGUCACUUUACAUGUAUUGUCAAACGGUUUCCAAUAAUGCACAUAACCUUUAUUGGAGGAAAUAUUGAAUCACAUGUUUAUUCAAUUUUACGGCAAAUCCCUAUGAUUGAGAAUUUGGGAUGAUUGAGAAUGUGCUUUUAUGUUGUGGUUAGUGUAGAAGUAUAUUGGGUUUGGCAAGUAGAUUUGAUCGUUGUAACAUAAAGCUGUGAGCACUUCGUCGUUUAAGGUGAAAGGACCGGCCGGUUAAAGCGGCACUCUCGACUCUCGCUAUAGAUUUAUUAAAAAGGCUCGGUUUAUAUCAUUUAAUGCAAGGUUUGCAACUUUUUAAAACAAAUAAAAUUAUCCUCUCUUGACAUGCACGCAACACGUCGGUUCUGUCUCUUCUCAGUUCUCAAUCCUUAUUCCGAAAGAAAGUGUAAACUCUUCAACAAGCAAAGCAUUUUUUCUUAUGUAUCUCUUUUCUCAGACGGCUAAAUAAAUAAAAUGAUUUGUACCGUUUUGUUUAUCUUUUUGAUUUUUAGUAUUUAAAGUUCAUACAGCGGAAUUUUCAAAAAGAGGAGAGAAAAUUCUACAUCAUAUGGCAGAAUAUUUAUACUUCUAGAAUUUAAAUGGAGGCGGAUUAUCUGUUCAGAAUCUUUGUUGUGAUAGCGUUAGUUGAAUAGGCUAUUUUGAAUAUGUAAACGAUACAUAUAUAUAUAUAUAUAUUAUAUAUAUAUAUAUUCGUGUGUGUGUUCAUAGGUUAUACAUAUACCAAAACAAAUGCUACAAUUUUAUGUAGUUUUUAAUUAAGUUAAUGGAGUACUGUUUUUCUUUGAUUCUUUCUAUGAGAUUUUCUGGUGGACUUACUUGUUAACAAGUGGUUUAUUUGAUAUUCCUAGAAACUAGUGUUGGAAUAACUUUCAGUACUCUGUUUAUAUAAAUUAAAAGAAAUAUUCUAUCCGGUCCGUAUGUAACACAAAAAAAAAACAUAUACAAUGCCGAGUCUAGACUCCGAAAGAAUAAAAAAAAUAAAGAGCAGAGAGCCAGAGACUGCUAAGUUUGUAUUACGAACUUACGAAUAAUUUAUAGGAUUCAGAGUCGCAUAACGCUAUAUAGUGCAGAUACUUUACUUAUCAGAGCAUCUCGUACACUCAGAAUUUGAUCUUACUUUUUCAUGUGUAGGGUUAAUAGACCAAAUGAACUGGUCUGUAUAGGUCAUUGCAAAAAUAAAAUUAUAGGAUCCAUAAUCUAUAUAAAGGGUUUCUAGUGGGACUACUUGAAAAUCCGGAGUGGAAAAACCUCUUUUGAAGAAAACCAUACAAGUAGUAUAUACACAAUCGAUUAUAAAAAAUGUUGGAAAUAAAUAAAUACAAGCAUACACAAUACACACUAACACACACACACACCGGCCAAUUUUAUAUGGAAGCAAAUAGUUUUCCUCCAUCCUUGCGAAAGGACUACCACAAUAACGUAAUUAGGUCGCCUAUCUUUUUGGACACGAGUGAAAUCAAAACGACGCGUAGUUUGUCGGCAAACAAAUAAACGGCAGCACAUUACGC